UCUGUGUUUACUUACUUAGUUUAAUUUCUUAACUCUUCAUAACAGCAACUUUAACGCAGUAAAAAACUAAACUGUUUGCCUGCAGUGUUAAGAAGUAGGACUGUAUGCUGCCGUCCUAUGACCAAAGUCUGCAGCUGCCUGUGGUGACCCAGUGAGUGACUUAACAAUACCACCAAAGAAUAUUUGCAUUCACUAUAUAGAGAUUUUACAGCAAUAAUGAGUCAGAAUGUCUACCACCUGGUUACCAUGGUGAUGCAAACGUUUUACUUCGCAGCAGGUGUAGCCCUUAAGGUUCUUACACACCAGGAAUGACGCAAAUAUAUGGCUUGUCUGUUCUUGGAGGAUCCUAUAGACCUCAGUGCUCGCAUUGUCCGAGGAGCACUCCAGCGUGCAAGAGUUUUCAGGGACCACACGGACCCACUUACAUUUCCGGAUGACCACCUUUAUGAAAGGCUCAUAUGGCUUACAUAUCACACAAAAAUGUAAACACAAUAGGAAUGAACAAAUGAAUGAAUUCAUCUUGGAAAUGAAUCAGACAUGUCUGGUGCAUGUUAAAAGUGCAUGUUGAACAGUGCUAUUUCAGGGUGAUAAUGGCAUCAAAAAUAUAUUUACGCAUUGAGACUGUCUGCAAUUUUCUGCCAGCAUUCCUUCCGUACUUUUGCAGCGGCGACGGUGUUACUUUUGAGGUUUAUGAUAGAUUUGAAUUCUUCAUACUUUCUCAUGAUCGUCUCCAGCUCCUCGUUUGUAAAGUCUGCGGUCCUUCACUCUCUGGUCUGCUCUGACGCUCCAGACUGGUCCAUGUUCGCGAUUGGUCAGAUGCGGCAGGCUCCGCCUUACAUGCGUGCACAUGCUCAUAGCAAAGCUGGAUCCACUUACGAGGUUGAUAACCAGCGUCGUAAGACUGUUUAGCGAGACUGCUGGCUACCAUGGUAAGUUAAGCGAGGUAGCUCCAAGGCUAGGUUGAACUUGCUUUGUAGAACAGACCCCUAAUGGUGCUGUGACAGCAACGCAAUUGAGUUGUACUGAGUCGGGGCCAGUACCAGAUAAGCACAUUAAACUAUAAUCCAUAAACGUAAGGUACAACCGAGACUUAAUGGUGCUGUGACAGCAACACAAUUGAGUUUGAGACAGUGAAAAUACAUAUGGUAUGUUGUAUCUGAACAGGUUAGCUUAUGAGCUAAAGUUACUUAGCACAGAUGAAAGUUAAAACAAAGACGUUUAGCAAACUGUUAAAGCACACAAACCAUCGUUAUAUGAGAAAUCCGACGCUAUGACUCUCCACAAGUUGUCCUUCAAGUCGUUAUCUUUGUAAUAUUUGUGUCUUUUAUCAAAAAGCACUCUGUUCUCCAACACAUAAACAAUCAGCCGGUCGGCCAUGUUGGAUAAACCAGUGAAUCUGACGUUGUAACAACACAAAAUCUGAUUGGUCAGAAGUGGACACACAGUAUGCGAAACUUUAGAAAAAUCGGCUGUGAUCCGAAAAAAUAAAUGCCGCAUAUUGCAGGACGGGGAAAACGUCACUGAUGUGAACGCUUGUAUUGACAGGAUACGGGUUCAAAAAAAAAAAUAUUGACGUCCAAAAUAAUCGCACGAAAAAACGGUCCCAGUGUGAAAGGAGCUUUAAAUGAAGACAAAAAAAAAAAGCCAUGUCUAAGUUCAUUAGUCCAUGCUCAUUUAAAUCCGAUACUGUGUGUUUUAGACAGAUUUUUACUGACUUCAUCACAAAAGAAUUUAUAGGUUUGCAUCACAGCCAUUUAACCUUGUCGCUACCUGAUCCAUCCCAGAAAGAUGUUUAGCAAACUGUUAAAUUUAUUAUUUUUGUAAUAUUUGUGUCUUUUAUCAGAAAGCACUCUGUUCUCCGACACGUAUACAAUCAGCCUCUCAGCUGUGUUGGAUAUACCUGUGAAUCUGAGGUCGCAACAACACGCAUUCUGAUUGGUCAGAAGUGGACACACAGUAUGCAAAACUUUUGAAUAUUCGACUGUGAGCCGAAAAAAUAGAUGCCGCAAUAUCGCAGGUUGGGAAAACGUUGCUGAUGUGAACGCUUGACAAGAUACGGGUUCGAGAAAUAAUUUUGACCCCCGAAAUAAUCGCAUGAAUAAAAUGCUCCCCAUGUGUAAAAAGGACCUUAAUCAUUUCAGGUGAUUGUUUACAUGCAGAUAUCCAAAGUAUUUGCAACUGUUGAUUAAUUUUUUUUCAGUUUACUUUCUUGUGUUGCACACACAUGUUCAAAAAUAUAUAUAUAAAAUAAAAAUAAAUUAAAAUAAAAGUUUGUGUUUGGAUCAGAAACCUCUGUCACAAGAUUCCUCACACAUUUAUGCACUUUAGCAGCGACUCUGGUCUCGUCUCUGCUAUUUGAGAUAUGAUGAUUUCAGUCCUGUUCAUUGCAGGUUAUUGAUAGACUUUGUUGGUAGUCUAUCAAUGCAGAGUGCAGAGUAUGCACAAUUUCUGCAAGUGAUGGUUCAAACUGCUCCCUGUAUGCUGUGUCUGAACCUCAGUGUCAAACAGUCCAUGAUGCACUGUAGUUAGGAUUUUAUACAAAAAAUUAAAUGCAUUAAAAUGAGAUCUUUGCAUGAACAGUAUUUGCAAAAAUGCUAAUUAUAUUUAAGCUAGCUGAAAAAUGGUCGAAAUAAGGACUUGGAUGUUUAAAGCUGAUUUUAUCCACUGUAAUUUAAAAUCUCUGGUAUUAAAUAAGCUUGAGUAUCUGAGGUGUUCUGCUGAAACUCUCAAAUCUUUCCGUCUAUAUUCAAAGCUUUACUCUCCAAAACUUUUCCCUACCAGUUGCCAAACCACAGAUGCAACAAAGUUUGCAGAUAUUUGAUUCUGAUUAGUCCAAACCACAUUGUGACAGUAACUGAUUGGACUAAAAUCAUACUGCUGUAGUUCCUCUGUGCCUUGCCUCUCGCUCUUUGAGUUCUGAUCCGACUCUGAGCAUCAUGUCGGCGCUGUGGGAGCCGGCUGGGUCGAUGGAAGCGUUUUUCUUCUGGACCGUCACCUGCAAAGACGUCAAUACACACGACACGAAAUAACCCCUGCUGUUUGUGCUAAAGACCCACUCUGCAACACAUUAAUGCUGUUUAAUUUUAUUCAUAGUGGUGUGUGUAGAGUUUUAUAAUCAGGGUGAGGGAGGAGAGCCAAAGACAAGAACAGCAGAGUUACAGUUUGUCUCCAGAGGAGCUGAACUCUCUUCAGUCUGCAGAUAUCUGCGCACAGCUCAGAGAGGAAAUCUUCCUGUAUUAUAGCGCAGGGAAAUAAGAACUUUAUAAGUUUAAUAUCCGGAGGCUCAGUUAAAGAUUAAAAUACUGUAAAACUGUAAGAAAAAAAAAGUGCAGAGAAGAGGGAGAUGAAAAGUAAGAUUGUGACAAGAGUUUUAACAUUGUGGUAACAAGAAAGAAAAGACCAGAGACAGACUUUUAUUUUGGAAAAAAAAGCAACAAAAACUGUCAAAGUUUUGUUGGUUUUGAAAUCAUGAUAACCUUUCACUUUAUUUCCAAAACCAUUGAGGAAAAGCUGGCAGGGAUCAUUGGGGAAUCCCUCCUGAGCGGUGUGGUGACCGAGGCAGAGGGGGACAUACAAGCACCAAAUGUUCCAGGAUGAAGAUAAACGUAUUCGCUUGUUUAAAAUAGUAAAAAUGAACUUGUACAGUAGGAACACAUUUGGAACAUAAUUCACAAUAAUUUACUUUAUUCAAGACUAAAUGAUAUUCUUUUCAGUUCCUGGGUGUUCCAGUUGGUUCGGUGGUACUGCAGCUGUGCCAGGAGAGAGUGAGGCCGGUGACUUCACAGCACUUGGUGCGCCCUCCUGAUGUAGCCGUGUUCUCACAGACACAGUCCAGCAAGCCCAGAGGGACACAAUCACAUCCAAUAAUGAAAAGGUCAAGUUUCCAGACAUCAAAAGCGUCUUGACAGACAUUAAUAUCAUCAAGUGUUCUAUUUAUACAAGUUUUCUCUUGGUUUUAUUUGGGUGCAUUUUGUAUGUUUCCCCAAGUGUCCCUGUCCCCCUGUAGUCCAGUCUUAUGAGUUUUCAGUUUGUGUUUUCCUGUUUUCCUCUUGUUCUCAGUGUUUUAUUCUUUCAAUCAGUUUUCAGUGUUUAUUUUUCUGUUUUAUUUUGUAGUAGUUGAUUCCUUGUGUUUCUAGUCUGGUUUUACUUCCCUAGUUUUCCCUCCUUCGUUAAUUAGGUGAGUUUCACCUGUGUCUCGUUUGCCUCGCCUGAUGCUCGUUUGCCUCACCUGUUGCUCGUUUCCCAGUGUGUAUAUAUAGUCCCUGUCUUCCCCUUCUGUCUUUGUUGGUUCAUUCUGCCAUGGUCCAGGGUUAAACAAAAAGAAAAAGGACCCAAAUGCAGAGCAAAGGAUUUAUUUAAAAAAUAAAUAGGUAAAUGAAAAAAACCACAAAAAUAUUUUUCAAAAUGUCCAAUUAAAAAAUCACAAAGGCAAAAUCAAACGACAAAACACUUGGGAAAAAAUCCCAAGGAGACUUGGGACUUAAAGAUCCAGGAUCACGUGGAACAGGCAGACAUGACACACAUACACACACAAUGAACCAACCAAGACAGAGGGGAAGACUAUACACACUGGGAAACUCACCCACUCACUCAUGACAAUUAAUGCAACACUGGUGAACAAAUAAACAUUUUUUUGCCUCUACCUUUUCUGUUUCACAUGUGAUGUAUCACCUCCAGCAGCUGGCAUACAGCAGCAGUAUUUCCUUCAAACACAAAAGGAUGGGGGUCGACAUCAGAUGCAACAUUAAAAUCAGGUAGUAGCAGCACAUUCUCCUUUUGUGCCAUGUUGUGAAGCACAGCACGCGCUCUCUCUAUCUAACACACAUAUGCAGGUGUGUGGUUAAAGGUGGGGUAGGCAGGAUUCCCUGAAAGAAGCAUCUUUUUUGUGGUGUAUAUACAAAAAAGCUUUUAGUAUCAGUCAAUAGCUAUGAGUUAUUGAUGACAUUUGGUACAUGACAUUUGAUAUCACUGUGUUUUGUUAUGUCUGUGUAGUCAACGGCUGUGUCCGAAAUGGAGCCCUAACCACUAUAUAGGCGACUAUAUGGGGGUUAGCGCCAUUUUUAGGGGUGUAGAGUGGCCAUACGUCUUCUACUCAGACACUUUUUUUGGGGGGCUGUCUGGUCUUGUCCAGGAGUAUAUAAAAUCCUUCAAAUGUCCGAGGUUUUGUAUGAAAGAUUUUAGGUUGUGUAGCGUUUUUUGCUUUAAAAUUUACCAUGCGCGACUCCACGACUCUGCCCCGCAUAGUAGUGUCCUCUUGUUGGGGAUUCAGAAUAUGGUCAUCCUACCAGAGGGCCCACUGUGUCCUUGUUUGGCUGACACAUCCUGUCAGGUUAGGGGGAAUUAGGACGCCAAUGCUGACCUUGAGGCUCUACAAGUUAUUCCAAAGAAAUCGCUUGAGCAACCAGGGGAAAAAAAAUAACCCGAAAUAAAAAUGAAAAAUGACUACGCUCCUUUUAUUGAAUCAGGUUUUGCAAGAAAUACAAGGAAAUAUAACCACCGCUGCCAAGCAACAAAAAAAAUAAUUUGGACAUUUUUAAGAAAUAAAACACUUUUUAAAGAGAACUCAAAAAACAAAUUCUUGUGUUGCCUAUGGUUGUCAUUCCAACAUAUAAAAGAAAGAGAGAGAUCCACUCUCAGCCACAGGAAGCAGGGAAAUGAGUCACACCUGCUCCCAGUCAGGGGCAGUCAGGCUCACACACUUGAUUCUGCUCUGUGCUGACUCGUGGGCCAAAAUGAGUGUCCAUCACACAUAAGUGUAAUACUAGGAAGAUUUCAGCUCCCUGCAGACUCUUGUGUAUGUUUUCUGUCUGUGAGUCGGCAGCUGCAGAGCAGACCGGCUCUCUGUCUGCAGGGGGUUCAGGUCUAAACAAACAGUUUGAUCAUGUAGAGACGAUCUGAUGAUCUCUCAGAGGAGGAGAAGAGCGUUUCGGCACUAAGAGCAUACACGUUAAAUUAUACAAACUUUGCUUUCCAUUGUGAGAAAUAAAGCACCAAAAGAAAUGGAGGAAAAUCUCCAGAGUCCCCGCUGCAAUAAAAGCUCCAGUAUUAUUUAAGACUGCGUGUUGGACGGCCAGACUUUUAGUUUGAGUCUUUUCCCAGCUGGAUCCAAAACACCGGGUGGUACAGAAGAAUAAAAACCUUUUCUGUUUUUAUUCUCCCCUCUUCUUUCUGAACUCCAUCACAGUCUGCGGGGAGAGUCAGCACAUGAAAACACUCCUCUUUUCAUGGACAAAGUGUUUGAUUGAGCUUCUAUGUGGUGAGAAUUUCUGUCUUCAGGGCUCCCUGUGUAAAUAUGAAAGAAAAACAUUUAACUGUGUUCGAUGGAAAUGCACACCGAUGUUACAAGUAGUGCAAAUAAAUACGGUUUUAGGAUUUGUAUAGUGACUUUAAAUUGGAGGUGUGUUUAGAUGAAUACAACAUUUAUUCACUGCUAUUGUCCCUUGGAUGUACUUCUUUGAAACAAGAUAAUUUUACUGCUUAGUGCGUAAAAACGAGGAUUUUACAGUCAAUAAAGAUGUUUCACAUGAGCAGAUUUAAUAUUUUUCUUGAGUGAUUAUCAGACACAACCAUUUUUCUGUGGUGGAUGAUUUGCAAAGAUUCAAUGAGGUGAGUCGUGCUGCAAAAGUUGAAACAAUAACAAUUCAAACACAUACAAAAGACCAAAGAAAGGCACUUUUUGGUUUACACUGGUGUUUUUGGCUUUUUGCAGCACUUUUUUACUUUGCAGUGCAUAUCAACAAUUGCAUUUAUCCUGGACCCAUGCAUGUGUUUUUCAGUUGUAUUUUUUUCUACAUUUGCAGCACCGACACAGAUUGCUCAGGCUGUUGCAGAUUAUGAACUAAGAUAACUUGACUAAUGGAUCGUUUUGACAAAAGAGCAUUUUUUAAACAUGUUGGCAUUAAGGUCCUUACACACCGGGGCCGACGCGAAUGUAGAACGCGAAAUUACGAAAUAUUCUGAGGCGAAUUUUCACAUCAAGUCCAAUGCCUUCGCCUCUGAUUGGCUAGAAAAGCUGGAAACGUCAUCACACACUUGAGCCAAAUGGUCAGCACUUAUGGCCAAUCAGAGGCGAUAAGAUAAGCACUAUAACAACCGUUAGCUUACGUUAGCACAGAUGAAAGUUAAAACAAAGACGUUUAGCAAACUGUUAAAGCACACUGUUUAAAAGUGGGCGGGAGUACUUUCCUUGAUAGACAGACUACUGUAACCAAUCACCGUAACCAAACAUCUGACGUCAUCACAGUGCGCAACUGUGUUCCCUGCUGGGCUCUCAAGCAUCAAGUAAAGGUUUGGUAAUAUUUCAACGCGUGCAAGCAAACAAUGUCUUUUUUGUCUUCUUCUGCGGAUAAAAACGAUUUCUGCUGACUUUGCAAAGUCAACUGCAGAAUUAACGGCGUUCUGAAUUAAUGGCACUUUGAAAAGUGGGAGGGAACGGCAAGUGAUUCACGCAACUGGACGGUCCGGCCAGGCUAGAGAAUUCAAGCAUCUUCCCCUGAAUGUUCUUCUUUCUGACUGGCCAAUUUUGAUCACAUGGUCAAAAGUGAGGGCAGCCAUUUUGCUCUGAAGUUUGUUUUCUAGCAGGAAGGUGCAGCAGAACUCUCUCUGUUUGCCCGUAUGGAGCAUCAGAAACUCUCUGACAGCUAGUUUAUAUUUCGUGUUCAGAGGGGGAUUUAUUCAGGAUCAGGAGGGAUUUAUGGAGUUUUACUGAACUCUUAAAUGCAGUUACUUGUUCAUUUCUACAUUCUGCUGAUAAUAUGAAAAACAUUUCCUGAGUAUUUACCUUCAGUUUUAUCUCACAAAACAAAGCAAGACACACAAGUUUUUUCUUUUUUUUUUUCAGCUCACUGCAGACGGCUCUGCUUUUGCUUUGAUGUCAGACUAUUGGGUUAAUCAUUUAUCUGAAACUUUUCAGUUUGCAGAGUAAAAAAAAGUUUUACCCUUAAAAGUUUUCUUUCUGAAACACCUGGGACAUGAAGGUAUUAUUAGUCUGAUGGUAAUCUUUUGAAACAAACUUAGAUUUAUUUAGAUUUUAGAUAUAUUCUAGAUAGGAAGUAUUAGUUUUGGCAUUUGGGAUCUUGACAUAAUCAACAUUUUUAUGAGACUCUGCAGAUUUUAAACAGCUCUCGCUUCUGUUAAAUAAGAAAACUUCAUUCAGACUCUUGUGGUUGAUUCCCAGGUUGCUGGUCACGCCCCUUGUCUACUUCUACUUGUCAUCAUCUAUCCCGGUCAUUGAGUUAUGGUCAUGUGACCAUGCAAGUUUGCGCCGCACAUGCAAACACACACAAAUGCUCCAACAGUCAGAGCAGCUGUUGAACUCUGCAGGCAGAAUAAUGAAAAAGCUGUUUACUGAACUUUUAAUAAUUCAACUCACCGAUUAUAGAAUCAAUAUCAUGUUGAAUCCAUAAUAUGAAAUUAAAAAACAUGUAUUAAAAUUGAGCAUUGAAGCUUUAACUCACAGUCCGUCUGUGUCACUGCAGCUCUGCAUGUUUUAUUCAGUACCUGUGUUUGCAAAAUCUCCACAAAAAUCCAGUUUUCUCUUUUUUUUUUCAUCAUUUAUUACAUUUCCUCUGUUCUUUUCUCUCCUCUGUCCUUGAUUAUGCAAACUCAACACAGUGCUGCUCAGUUGAUUGGCGGCAUACUUUGGACGCUUGCAUGUAUCAAGGGCUUCAUCUGAAUACUCAGGGGGGGUUUGUGGCCGAGUUUGAAUGCUUGUCAUGGGUUUAUUUUGAGGUUUUGUUUAAGGAUGUUUAUUUGGCAUGUUGACAUGGUAAUUAAGAUAAAAACGUCAUUGAAUGAACAGCCUUUGAUGAGGAAAUUAGCCUUCAACAUUUUGAUCUACCAUUGGGUUAUUUUCUUUUACUUUAAAAUCAUGUUUUGAGUUAGAAUCCACCCGCGUGUGACAAGUUUAUAAGACUCACUCAGAAGUUUGACAAGGUUCAAAGUCUGUCAACUCUCCGUUGACCCUGCAGUCUGCGGUUUUUGAGAGUAUUCACUGAGCUGCAGUGCUGUGAACAGUGGUGAUCAGAGAUGUCAUGACUCAGCACAACAUACUCAUGCCAGUGAAGAGGAGUGUGUGCAUGUGCGUAUGUGUGUGUUUGCAUCAGUGCUGCAGCAGUUGAAUUAUGAAUUUCCACAGAGGUGACUUCUUAUGUCUCCUGUGUACGCAGCUGAUGCAUUGAUUAUAGCUUUACUCCUCAAGGAGGAGCACAAGAUGUCACAUUAAAGCUGGAAUCAUUACUACUGCUUUACAUUUGACUCCUACACAUGACUGAAAUAAUAUUUUUGCAGCAUGAGGAGGUUUUUCAAGUUUGAUGCAUGAAAAAAGCAGAGGAGGUGUGCAUAAGGAUAACUUUAAUCUCUGAACUCAUGAGGAGAAACGUGCUGCGACUUUGAAAAUGAUUGUAAAUGUAUGCAAACAUCUGAAUGGAAAAUAUUGCUAAUGAAAGGCUGUGCUGCAAAAACAUAAUACAAACACACUGCAAAUACAAAGUAAAUGCAAAUUUUAAAAAAUGCACAAGCACAAAAAGCACAUGCAAAAAAACAACAACUCUUAAGGUCCUUUCACACCAGGAGCAUUUUUUUUUUGCGAUUAUUUGUGUUGUGUCAGUCUUCUGGCUUCCACCUGGGACACGUCUUUUUUCGUCUUGUGUAUGGUCAGGCACGUCAAAAUUUGCCUCUAAAUAUUUCGAAAAUUUCGCGUUCGAUAUUUGCGUUGGGCCCGGUGUAUAAGGACCUUUUUAAAAUAAAGGGUUUCAAGAACAUUUUACAAGUGACAUUAUUUUUUAUUUUUAUUUUUUUCAUUAAAACUUAAUUUAGAUAGCAAAUAAACUGAAUAUACUAAAAGUUUCUGAGGAACAGUGAUGUUAUAUUUGAAGUACAGAGGACGGAGACAGACAGAAUAAAAUAUAUGAAUACAUCUUUAAAUAAAUACUUCAAUAUGUCUGUAACUAAUAAAAAUGGGAAUUAAAUAAAUAAAUGUGUCAUUAAAUAUGUCAUUAAUUAAUUAAAAUGGGGAUUAAAUUAAUAAAUGUGUCCUUAAUUUAUUAAUAUGGGAAUGAAUAAAUAACUGUGUUACUAAAUGUGUCAUCAAUUAAUUAAAAUUGAAUUAAAUAAAUGUGCCGUAAAUUGAUUAAAAUACUAGUUCAUUCAAUGUAAAAACAUAUAUAUGUAUUUCACUAUUUAAUCAUUUAUUUCAUGGACUGCAGUGCUUCAUGAAUUUAUUUCAUCCGUCAAACUCACCCAUCAAAGUCAGUGGGCGGAUCCUAACACCUGAUUGGUUACCCAGCACAUCAAGUCAAGACAGAUUGACUCCACAUAAUGGAUUGAUGCAGCCACUCUAAGGUCAAUAUCUUGGUCUGAGGUUGUGGGAAUAACUCCAAAAAUUUCACUUAAUUCCUCUGCUUUACCCACUUCAUCCUCUUUAACCAUUGUCAGCCUCACUCUCUUCUUUGAUGGGGAAAUUAGCCUUCAACAUUUUGAUCUACCAUUGGGUUAUUUUCUUUUACUUUAAAAUCAUGUUUUGAGUUAGAAUCAGUUAGAAUCCUCUUCUGUCAGCCAUGAAAAAAAAUUUAAAGCUGUUCUGCUCAGCGCCUCCUACAGACCUGGAGCUCCCCUGUUAUCACAGUCUGUUCAUUCAUACAACUCAUUAAAGUCAGGAUGCUGCAGCACACUAGAAAGGAGUUAGAAGACCUAGCUGUCAUGUUACAAACGUGUUCAUUUGGAGUCAAAUUCGGGGCUAUUAUUCAAUAAAUUCAGGGCUCGUGCUUUUAAAUGGAAUUAAAGCAGAAAUAGAAACUCAUUCAUGGUUGUUAUGUUUCCCUGGAAGGAUUUACUCUGAAUUUUCUGCAGCGCACGGUUAAAUUCAGUUCAUUCCAGGAAUAAAAGCCAAUUAUAACUCCCCCAUGUGCGCCCUGGUGAGGCUCAGCAUGUGGUAACUCGACAGAAAGGAAUUAUUCCAGGAUCAAAUGAAGUCAAAGCCCCAACAGGCUGACAUUUGGUGACUCCAACAGGGGAUCCGCUGUUCUACCCAGAGACCCCAUCGUAUAUGUCAGGAACCAAAUCACCUGAGGGAAGACCAGGAAAGAAGAACAAGGAGGGCGACGCAUGGAUCAGGAACUUCAGGAAAGGAUUUUAAUAAGACGCAGAAGUACAAAUCACCGUGGCCCAAGAUUUUUUUUUUAAAGAAGCAGAAUCUGAACCUUUGAGGGUCCUGACUAGAAACCUGUGAGUAGAGGAGACUUAGGGUGGGUCCAGUAUAAACGUCCUUACACACCAGGAGAGUUUUUUUUCGUGUGAUUAUUUCUGACGUCAAUAUUUUAUUUCAAACCCUCCUUCGCCUCUGAUUGGCUAUAAGUGCUGACCGUUUGGCUUGAGCGUAUGAUGACGUUUCCAGCUUUUCUAGCCAAUCAGAGGCGAAGGAGGCAGAACUUUCCCUGGGAAAAGUCUUCCUCAGGAUGCGUCUUUUCCCCCCGGAAAGUCGCAAAAUCGCAUUGGGCUUGAUGUGUACAGUCAGGCGAAUCAAAAUACACCUCUGAAUAGUUCAUAAUUUCGCGCUCUAUAUUUGCGUUGGCCCCGGUAUGUAAGGACCUUUAGGGUAAUUCCCGUAUAAGCCCAGCUCUGGCAAUGUUUGACCAUCAAGCACAUUACAGAAGCAAGAAGCAAUCUUAAAAGGGAUGCUGUCUUUUCAAACUUCAAGUUUAAAGGUCUUAUUUUGACCCUGGUAGUAAAUGACUUCAAUCUACGGCCAUGAACUAACUGGAGUUGUUGCAAAUCCUUGGCCCUGUGAAAGUCAAGAAACUUGCAAAUCCAAUCCAGGGCAGGUGCUGAGUGGAAUAUCAUGGAAAAGACGCAAAUAAAAAUAUCUCACAGGAAGGCUCCAAUUGUGAAAUUUCUAAAAAAAUAUAUUACUGGAUUCCCACAGAGAUGGACAUUGUUGUAUCCUGUUUUUAAAGAACCACUCUUGUGAAAGUCAUGUUUUUGUAUUUGUCCACAUGUUCAUGUGGCAUUUUUCUGAUGCUACAGGACACAUCAUGAGAAAACUAAGUGCAACAUUGCAUUUCUGAGUAUCUUUUCAUUCAAAUCGCUGUUAAUCUCUGGCAGACCCAAAUGGCAGGUUCAGAUACAGUGAGAUUUCCUACAUAGCAAAUCCAAGCUCCGCCCCCGGAGCCCUGCAAUGCUCAUAAGAAAGCUAACCUACUUCUUCCACUAAACCGGCAAUGUUAGGCGUUAGCUAGCGUGAAGAGGAGUGUGCAGAGCAGCGCUGUCUUUGCCCACGACUCAGAGGCGAAUUGAUAAUGAGCUACUGGAGCUCUACAGAAAGAAAACCCUUGAAAAUGACACGCGAUUUUGGCUAAAAUCUUCAUAAUCACACUUUAAAGAGCACUGAUAACACUUUGAAUAGUACAAAAAAAUAUGACUGGAGUGGGACUUUAAUUGGAUCCAGACGUCAUGUCACUCUGCAACUUUAAAAGCUUCAAAUCCAAAAAAAAGAUUGAGCUUAUCGUUACUGAGUUUGUCUCAUGUGCCUUAUGUCUUGUUCGGUCUAAUUUCACUCCCUCGAAAUAGUGUUUUCCCCGAGUAACUGCCCUUUCUGAACUGUGUUGAGAGCUGAGUUCUUCUCAUUUUCCUCCUCUUUUUUAUUUUAAACUCUCACCCCACUCGUGUGUAACCGUCUUAUUUCCAAUCAGAUUUCUGCAUUAGAAAAAAAUCAUGUAUUUGCUGAGGCAGCUGUCAUGAUAAUUGGCCUUUUAGAAGGAGUUGGCCCUUCAGAGGAGAGCUAUCGAUUUCAUGAUCACAGCUGUACUUCUCCCGCUGACCUCUACUGUACGAGGCGAAGGCCGAGCCACCGUGUUUCCAAGAGCAUAAUUAGAAUGGAUCUAAUAUCUUUUUUAUAUGCGCUCACGGCUCGGCUGUAGCGCUCGGAAGCUGCCCCCCCCUCUGCUCUGCAAGACCUUUAUUUACCCAAGUAGGCCUGCUGCAUUUUGAUAAGAACCUCUGUCUGGAAGAAUUAAUGUAAUGCCCACUCGAGGAGAGGGUUUCAAUUAGGGAGCAGGACAUGUCGGAAUGGGAGGAAUUCAAGCAAAAUACACCAGCACUUCAUCCAAACCUGAGGAGAAUAUCGACUCCUCCACACCCCUGUACCCUUCUGUUCAUUUCUGCCUCAGCGGCCCUGAACGCGUCCACAUUCAGAGCAUCGUUUCCAUGCAAAGUGUCCAUCUGCCUCCUCCUGUGCGAUGGACUGUCAGCGCAUACAGACUGCCGCUCAUUUGUGCGCAUUACCCACUUAUUUCCAAGUGUUGUUGAAUUCAGAACAAAGUCCACACAAGCCAAACAAAGCGGUGAUGCAUCUGCAGGAGUUGUUCAUUUUUUUUAGAGAAGUGGAGGUUUGGUGCAGCAGAGAGGAGGCUGGAGUCGCUCCUGACGGAUGUUUCCAGACUUUCUCAUGAAUUCUAAAUCAGCUUUGGCUAAUUAAUGUGGAAAGGGCAGACGUUUUCUGUGAGAGGCAGACUGAAGUGUACAGAGGAGGAGGCUGUUCACAGCUUUCACAUGACAAAAAAAAACAACAACAAGGACACAAGAGGCGAGAAAUGGCUGGAUUUGAAGAAAAAGAUUGCCCCGUAUCAUGUUGCACAGAAUUCUUCCUUUUCUUCUUUUACAACCUUGAAUCCAGAAAAGUUGAAAUAUUGUAAAAAAUGUUAACGAAAACAUGAUAUGGAUGGAGCAAAGACAACACGCUCGAUGUUGAAACUUGUUGAAAAGCUUGUUGAUGUUGAAAAACGAAAAAAAAUGAGUGAACCCAUCAUCUUUAGUUUUUUCUGUCCCAAUGUGUGAUAAAUCGAAAUAUGACGCUCUUUUUGGAAAUUCAGUCCCCGGUUGGAAAUACAGUUCAAAGCCAGCAUCCCGACACAAAUAUAUGACGCGAAAUUACGAAAUAUUCAGAGGAGAAUUUUGACGCGCCUGACUAUACACAUCAAGCCCGAUGUGAUUUUGCGACUUUCCGGGGGGAAAAAGACACGUCCCGGGUGGAAGCGAGAAGACUGACUCAACAGCAGACUGACUGUUUUUCAGCUCUGAUUAGACACUAGUGUUGAGAUGUCUGUCUGUCAUGACAGCAUGUACUGAGUCGGGGCCAGUACCAGAUAAGCACAUUAAACUAUCAUCCAUAAACGUAAGGUAACAACCAAGACCUAAUGGUGCCGUGACAGCAACGCCAUUGAGUUUGAGACAGUGAAAAUACAUAUGGUAUGUUGUAUCUGAACAGGUUAGCUUACGAGCUAAAGUUACGUAGCACAGAUGAAAGUUAAAACAAAGACGUUUAGCAAACUGUUAAAGAACACAAACCAUCAUCAUAUGAGAAAUUUGACGCUAUGACUCUCCACAAAUUGUCCUUCAGGUCGUUAUCUUUGUAAUGUUUGUGUCUUUUAUCAAAAAGCACUCUGUUCUCCGACAUAUAAACAAUCAGCCGGUCAGCCAUGUUGGAUAUACCGGUGAAUCAGACGUCGCAACAACACGAAAUCUGAUUGGUCAGAAGUGGACACAGUAUGCGAAAAUUUAGAAAAAUCGACCAUGAUCGCAUGACGGGAAAACGUUGCUGAUGUGAACGCUUGUAUUGUAUUGGGUUCGAAAAAAAAAUAUCAAUGUCCGAAAUAAUCGCACGAAAAAAAAGCUCCCUGUGUGAAAGGACCUUAACUGAGCAUAGGCUAGUAGUUGAGGCUAGCAGCAGUCCUCUGAUGCUCAGAGUCCAUGUCAUGGGUAUCUUCCACAUCAAUGAAGGCUUAAUGCUGAACAAUAUCUACAGGUUUAGGAGCAACAUCCGCUGACAUCCAGACAAAGAGACCUUCAUAUUUCAGCAAGACAGUGACAAACCACAUUCUGACAACAGGGAUUACAACAGCAUGGCUCUGUAGUACAAGAGUGCUGCUGAUAAACUGGUCCGACUACUUCUUUAACUAUUUCCAGUUCAAUAAAAGAAAGAACCGAUCAGCAAAGCAUCAAAUUAUGUUUUAUUAGCAUUUUACACAACGCCCUCACUUUUUUUUAAACAAGUGUUGGAUUGUAAAAUGUAAACAUGAACGAGCUCACCACCUGAAAACUCCAAAUGUAAAGAAUCUCAGAGGGGGAUUGAUGCAAAAAUGGAUAUGAUCACUUUAAUCUUUGCUUUAUUUGGAGCUGUUUUGCUUUUUCUGAAUGACCUAAUUCCAGAUUUUGAUCAGUUUAAAUAAUUUUGCUUUUUCUUCCAUAUUUUCAGCGAGUUUCAUACAUAUUUAUUCAGUCUACUUGAAGCCUGAACACUGCAUUUAAACCCAAACUGCUCCAGUGUUUGGAUUCAUUUUUACUGGCUGUGAAUUCAUGAAAAAUGGAUGACACUGAAAUCCUCAUGACUCAGAAAAGCUGUAUAAAGAUAGAUUUAUAUGAAGUGAUAUGAUAAGGGUGCUGCUUUAAAUCUAAAGAGUACAUUUUAAUGCACAGUCUGGCUCUUACAAAUCUUUACCUCACAUUGCCUUGAGUCUUUUCUCGGUUCACACUAAAUUCCCCUCACUCACUCACGCUGCUCUUAUUCAAUUUAAAGGUGAAUUAAAGUUUAAAAUCUACAUUUGUAUAAUUUUUUGCUGGGUUUUGUCUUUUUAUAACUGCAAAGAUUUGUCGGGUUUUAUCGGGAAAUGAGCCGUUACGGAUAUAUUAGUCAGGAAAAAAAGACUCUCACACAAUACAGAUUUGACUGGGUAUACUUUUUACACAAUUUGGGUCCAAUAAAAAGAGACCUGUUUUCCGUACACCUGUGCAGCCACAGCAGCAUAAUAACAGCUUUUCUACCUCACAUGGUCAUAAUUAUGCAUUUGGAGAAAACAGUGAUAUUCAUUUUAGUAAAUAAACCCUGUGGGGUACUGCUUUGACUCAAAAGACUCUUAAUUUAAGAAAAAAAUGACCAUUGAGGGGGGCGGUGCAACUUUGAUUGGACUGGUUGAAGUAGCAUGUCUGCAGACCAAGACGCUGCAGAUUUAGGACCACAUUCUAAGACUCUUUUACACCAUCUUCUACAUUUUAUCACCAAGAAGUGCAUUUUUAGUGUAUGCAUCUGUAACACCAACCUUAGGUAUAACUGUUGUAUCAAAACACAGGUCCUAAAACUGCAGUCGCAUUAAGCUCUCGUAACUAUUGCUGUUGGUUGAGCUCAGCUACUUUACAGGUAAACUCCUCAGGUUCAAGACAAAGGAUUUUAACUCAUUCAGUGCCAAUGACGGAUUUGAAUGGAUUUUUUUUAUUUGCCUUGAGUGCCAUUGAUGGAUUUUGACAGAGUCCUCCGUUUUUUGUUUCCCGCCAGAAGGCGCUUCUCCCCAACAUGCGACUAAGUUUGGGGUCAUUGUGAGCGCAGAGAAGCCGAUAAAUACAUCAUAACAUGUUACAAUAACAAAAACAAGUACUUUCCAGUGAGAAAUGUCCCAUCAAGUGUGCCAAUUAGCCUAGUUGUGGAGUGUUUUUCUCUAUGAGAAGAGUAGGAAAAGGCCAGAGUCAUAGAACAAGUGCAAACAGUCUUGGCAAAUUGACUCCCGUGGGCGCGGUGCUGCCAUUUCUGGAUCCAGUGGAGAUCCCAUUACAAGACCUUCACAUUGUCAGCAGACAAUCAACGAAACAAUUUUCCAGCAUGAUGUUGUGCUGCUGGUGCUGGUACUGGUGAGCGAGACUGAGCCGGAAUUCAGCAACAGUCCCAGUGAGGAGGACGCAAGCAGUCUGUGUUAUGUAUGUCACAGCGUUAGGUUCUCAAGUGCCAAUACGACUCCCAGCCGUCACAAAAUGAUCUAUCACAAUCGGAUCUUGAGAGUGCUGAGGAGUGGCGUCUAAGGAGGGAGGACCUUGAUGCCACCAGUAAAGUAGUUUGAAGUGACAUGAAAUAGACAAUCCGAGUUCUGCUUUAGAGUCUCUCCUUCGUCUUAAUGUAUUUUUCCCAGGUUUCUUUUUCCAGAUCGGCAAAGAUGAUAUGACCAUGCUGCAUUGAGCAAGCAUUAACCAAACACGGGAGUGGGUUAGAGACUUUUUUUUUUUUGGUGAAAGAAGAUAAUCCCCCCUUUCUUUUAAAAUAUUGAACUUUAAUUUUAUUCCAAGCACAAGAUAUUCUGUAGGUCCUGAAAGAUAUGGAAAUUUCUAUUGCUGUCAAUGGUGGCGCUGGGUGAAAAUUGCAUCAAUGAACCUGGCAUUGAAUGAGUUUAAAAAAAGCUACACAGCUGCAUACAAACUGCACAUUGCUGACCAUAAAGAAUCGUCACACACUCUUCUGCAAAUUCUUGACACCUCUCACUCAUACAGAUAAAAGAGGUGUAGUGAUGUUGAACAAGAGAAUCUAUGGAAGGUAGUUACUGACUGCAUAAAUGUUCUUCCUUGAGCUGCGUAACCCCGCAGCAGUCCAUAAUGGAUUGGUCCAAGGUCUCGCUACAAACAAGCGGCUGCUGGAAGAGAGUAGGUGAGUUGUGUUUAGUCUCUCUGCUUAAGAAAUCAGGCAAAGUUAAAAAGAUGUUUGGUGGGUAGUGUUAUGGCUGGGGCCCUAUAUGUACUGUUGAUGAAGUUAGGUGCUGUUCUGAACAUUGUUUGUGGCUAUAGAGUGGCGUUUUCAUUGAGGUUUGUGUGUGGUUCCAUAGACCGCUAUGUAUCACUGUCAGUACUUAAGUUGGUAUAAUUAGAGAAGCAAGCAGUCGGCAACAUUCAUCUCUUGGGGGGGUGUCUAACUUGGUGUUAAGGCGUGUUUAACCCUAAAUUAAUUUUACACAGGAAUAUCACUUUAAGUUUGACCCUUGCAUGAAACCAAAGUCAGAUCUGUAAAAUGGUCUUAACUUGGUCAACAUAACUCUAGGUUUUGAAGUAUGAUAUUUCUGUUAUCCGCUGCUGCUGCUCAGAGGGACGCAGGACUGCAGCAGAGGUGGUGCGAGAGGCGUGAGGAUAAAAACAAGCCUUUCUUUCUUCAUUUGCUCACUGAGGCGAACCAGCCGCAGGUUUUCUGUUUGAUGACGAGUGCGAGUCUCUGCGAGCUAAUGCUGAAACCGUGUAGGGUUAAUUGAUGCAGGAAGAGGAGCCCUCUCUUACAGCUCCGUCACAUUGGGCAGAAAGAGCCCUCAUCAAUAAUUUAAGAAUUAUCUUUAAUGGCAUCGCACGGCGAUCGUUUUAAUUGGAGCGAUUACAGUCUGCUUCAAGUAAUCUGAGGGAGAGCGAAGGACAGUAUCUGAGAGAGCUUUGUUUAACUGUUGAAGUUGUGAUUAAAUAUUGUUUUUUAUUGUACUUAGAAAUCUUUUAUUCUGUAGAAACUUAAAGUCCAAAAAACUUGUACCUUCUUUUUUUAGUCAUGCAGCUGGAGAGCACAAUGAGAUCCUUAAAACUGCUAUAUGUCUGCUAGCAUCUACAUACACUGGACAUUUUAAUGAUUGUAUUGUUAGAUAUGCAAGCUUACAGCCUGUGUAAAUUUAGGGUCGUAUGGUCAGAUAUGAAUACAUGUACUAAAACUAGUGUGAGACUAGCAGCAGGGCCUGCUGACUGUGCUGAUGUAGUCUUAAAGGUAAAAACAAAUCGUUUUUUUGAAGGACAAAAAGGAAAUGAGAAUAAAAUACAGAAAAUCCAUGUUCUGCCUUAGCUCUGAUCUGGAUGUUCCAGGAGGAAAUCAGAUUCAUUUUCAGCAAAUUGAUCAGAAUUGGUGGUUCCCCCCCCCCACACACACACUCUGUAAUGAAAAAAAAAUCUGCCUGUGAAGAUGCAAGAAAAUAAAACAGAUAUAAGAGUCUGAGAAAUCAAAGAUACUGCUUUAAAGCUAAGUUAAAUGUGAGAAGUGUAGUUUCUGGUAAAUUUAUGAUGAUGCAAUAAAAGUCAGAUCUACAAAUAGAUGUUUGAAAGCAGGCUGCAGUAUUGAGAUAAACUAAAUGCUGACUCAUCUAAUGUUUCUUGUUUGUAAAAGGCAAAAAUCUGUGCUGUCUAAGUAUCGGUUUUUCACACUUUCGGCAGAUGUUCCUAUAUUUUGAUCACCAUAGUCUUCUGACUAAAACAUAGACAUAUUCAGUAUAAUGUCCACUGGCCUCUGAAGGCUCCUAUACAUACUUCUUCAUCGUCUAAUUUUUGGAAAUACCUACUUUUCUGUUUUAGAAAUCAGUAUUUUAGAUCUGUGGCAGUAGUCUGGGAACAUGAACUCAUUUCCAUGCUUUAUUUUUAAUUUUCAAUACUUUUCAAGACCUGGAAAUGUAUCAAAUUUAUUUUCUUACUUUUCAAUGCUUUCCAUACUUGCCAAGGAACCCUGGAAGUGUCAUGAAAUCCAAAGAUGGUGGUCCCAAUGUUAGAAUUACUGUGAUUAUUUCGUGCGAUUAUUUCGGACGUCAAGAUUUUUUUUUUCCUGUCAAUACAAGCGUUCACAUCAGCGAUGUUUUUCCGUCCUGCGAUAUUGCGGCAUUUAUUUUUUCGGAUCAUGGUCAAUUUUCUAAAGUUUCGCAUAAUGUGUGUCCACUUCUGACCAAUCAGAUUGUGUGUUGUUGCGACGUCAGAUUCACCGGUAUAUCCAACAUGGCCGACCGGCUGAUUGUUUACGUGUCGGAGAGCAGAGUGCUUUUUGAUAAAAAACACAAAUAUUACAAAGAUAACAAAGGACAACAUAGUGUCGGAUCUCUCAUAUGAUGAUGGUUUGUGUACUUUAACAGUUUGCUUAACGUCUUUGUUUUAACUUUCAUCUGUGCUAACGUAUGCUAAUGAUUGUUACCAUAGUUUCAUGUGUUUAUCUUAUCCCUUCUGAUUAGCUAUAAGUGCUGACCGUUUGAUGGCGUUUCCAGCUUAUCUGGUCAAUCAGAGGCAAAGGAGGCGGGACUGUCCCGGGGAAAAGUCUUCCCCUGGACGCGUCCCCCCGCCCAGACCUUUUGAUGAAGUGCAUCAUAACAUAGAUUCACUGUUUUUUUUACGGACAGCCUCCUGUGGACAUUUGCAGUUUUUCUGCACAUCCUCAGUGUCUUUUGUUCUGAUUAAAAAGUACUCUGGGUCUUUCAUGAAACGGACUGAUUUUUAGAUUUUUGUCUCAAGUUUGAUGAGAAAUAAACUCAGAUUUUUUUUUUCUACCAUGUUGAAGGACUCUUUGUCCUCUGUGUUUAAGCUCUUUGUCGAGACUUAAACAGAGAAGACGUCCUCGUUUGUAUCUGCUCCUCAGAUUAUUUACCGCCUGUCUUCCUGGUGUCGGUCUCUCCCUCAUUGAGUGUCACCGCACGCCCUCGCCCCUCCUGUAACAUGAGGCAGGACAAAGUCAUCUUCAGUCACAGGUUAGAGGAAAAACGGCUGCUGUGCCAGUGUGCGAGUGUGUGUGAGGAGAUAGAGUUUCUAAGCUGUAUGUGGAGUGUUUCUGUACAAAGUGGGAUCGAAUUAGACAAGCUCCACUGUAGAGAGAGCUGAAUUUCAAGAGGCUUCAUGCAUGCAGAACAAUGCUGCAAUAGCCGCGAAGGCUUGAAUGUAUUCAGAUGAAGAGAAUCUAAUGAAUCAUAAUUAAAAAAGUACCUCAGUCGAGCAGUGCUGUAAUUGGAUAGCUCAUAUGAAGAGCUGUGAGGCGGUCUUCAAAGCUCAACCAGCCGCUGGAUUUCGUGUAAAAUCUCUGGACUGAGAGGAUUUCCGGCUACAGCUGGAAGAGCAGAGAGCGAAAUGAAUUUACUCAGAGAGCGCUGACAGGCAUGAGAUCAAUAGUAAUUAUACCACUAAUAUGUUUCAUUUUGAACAAGUUUGUUUAAGCAGCACAAGUUUGGAUGUGAACUCCCAACAGUUUAAAAGAAACUAUCCAGAAGAGAGAAGACGUGCAAGAUGAAAACUUAUCUUCCUGUCGUCUUCAAAUGGGGAAUUUUCUCAUUUCCAAAAUGAGAUCUAAUUAUAAAACUCUAUUACCAAGGAGUUGUAGGAUGUGUAAAAUGUAAGUAACAAGUUGAGUGUUGUGCUAUUUAAAGCUGAUGUGAAAAGACAACUCAUCAGAUGUUGAUGUGAGAGUCUCUUUCUCUUUCACAACUUUUGACCUGUUUGGUUGUUCCUCUAUAACAACUUUUUAAAUCUUCGGUUGUUCCUCUUUCAACUUUUUUGAAAGUUGAUAUAAGCUUUGAUUUAUUGCGAAACAAUCAAUUUCUAUUUUUUUUUUCAACAUUUAUCAGGGCGCCCCAAACAGGGGUUGUAUUUGUCAUUUAGCGCUGAAAUUUACCAACAUACAGUUUAGGUCUUAAGUGUAAGCUUUCAGCACCUCCAGCUGUAUGUAUGGGUUGUUUGAUGGAGUCCUGUCAUCCGUUGAAAUGCUGCACUUUAAUUCAGAGCUGCGUUCGUCUCCAUUUGCAUGUGACAUUGCCCCCUGGAAUUGUUUUGACAUCGGCGUCUCAUUUGCUUUUAUUCAUUUUCAUUACAGUUAUAAGCUAAUGGGAGAUUUGUAAAUGUGCCGUGACAUGCUGCGUGUGAUUACCGCUCCGCUAAGGAUUGCCUGAGAAGAGCGCCGGCCCCUCGCCCCUGCACGCCUCUGCAGCAGAUAAGGGAAACCAGAGCUGUCACUAAAAGGUAUGCUAAUUCAAGGAGUUCCAGGUAGGAUCCUCUGCUGUUUAAAAUAAAAAACACCGGCUCAAAUGAUGAAGAAAUUACCCACAUGAGAACAAACAGCAGGUAAUGUAGAGAGUCCGUCUUUACUCUGCAGGUGAUCUGGUUUCACAGAACCUUUAACAGGUGGUGCAUUCAAGGGGCUUAUGCUCAUCUGCUCUAGUGCUUUGGUUUUGAACAUGCAGAGUGGAAGGAACAUGGCGUUUCAUUCAAUUCGGACCAUUUAAUUCAACAAAAUAUUGCAGAAAAUCAAAGUGAUCAUUUUCAGCUUUAGGAAAUUGCCACGGCUGUUCCUGCCAAUUUUUGCUACUUGAGUGACAUCCUUGAAAAGUGAAGGACCAUGAAGGUUUUUUGUUGUACUUGUUUAACCACCACCAAAAACCAAUCCAGUUUGACUCAGUCAGGGGCAUUUUUGAUUGUGUUUUAUAGAGUAUGCAGGAGUUGAUCUGGCCUUAAAGAGAGGGUAUUAUGUGGUUCUUUUAGACUCGAUACUUCCUUUCAGACUCCAUACUUCCUUGCAGACUCUAUACAUCCUUUCAGACUCUAUACUUCUUUUAGACUUCCUUUCAGACUCUAUACAUCCUUUCAGACUCUAUGCUUCUUUCAGACUUCUUUUCAGACUCCAUACUUCUUUUCACACUCUAUACUUCCAUUCAGACUCCAUACUUCUUUUCAGACUCCAUACUUCUUUUCACACUCUAUACUUCCAUUCAGACUCCAUACUUCCUUGAGACUUGCUUUCAGACUCCAUACUUUCUUUCAGACUCUAUGCUUCCUUUUAGACUCCAUACUUCCUUUCAGACUUUAAACUAUCUAGGACUCUAUUCUUUCUCAAUCUCCAUACUUCCUUUCAGACUCCAUACUUUCUUCGGACUCCAUAUGUCACUUAUACUUCCUUUCAGACUUUAAACUAUCUCAGACUCUAUACUUCUUUUCAGAUUUCAUACUUCCUUUCAGACUCCAUACUUUCUUCGGACUUCCUUUCAGACUCCAUAUGUGACUUAUACUUCCUUUCAGACUUUAAACUAUCUCAGACUAUACUUCUUUUCAGACUCCAUACUAACUUUCAGACUCCAUACUUCCUUUCAGACUCCAUACUUUCUUCGGACUUCCUUUCAGACUCCAUAUGUCACUUAUACUUCCUUUCAGACUUUAAACUAUCUCAGACUCUAUACUUCUUUUCAGACUCCAUACUUCCUUUCAGACUUUAAACUAUCUCAGACUCUAUACUUCUUUUCAGACUCCAUACUUCCUUUCAGACUCCAUACUUCCUUUUAGACUCUAUAGCAGGGGUUCUCAAUUAGAAAUGUAAAAGGUCCAGAAAAUACAUUUUGAGGAAGUCAUGCGUGGUGGCGAAAAAUUGUAACCUUUUUUAAUGUUUUUAUAUAGUUUUAUGAUGGGUGUACUGCACUGUAAUAAUCAGGAGUUAUUGGAAGGCACAAAAACAUUCAUUUCCAGCAUCUCACUGAUAUUCUUUCUUACUAAGUAUUACUCUAUAAAAUAAAAUAAGCUUUUUAUUUUAUCUGUUUGUAGCUCAGAUUUAUCUCUAUCAAUAUCGCUUCUCAUAAUGGCUUUUUAUGUUUUCACUUUUUAUCAGAGCAACAGUGCUUUGCACAAAAGACACAUUGGCUUUGUGCUUGAAGGAGGUAAGAUAAUCAUAUAUUUGUCAGUACGUUCGUCAGUGAAUCAGCGAUUUUCAAUGUCCACCUUUCUCUGAUUUGCCAUUUUGAUGUCGGGUGCUGGGUGUGAGCAUUGCUCCUGCUGCAAAGACGUAACCGAAGGAGGAAGAUGUGUGACUGCCGGUUUGCGUAGUUAUCAGCCAAUCAGCGCAUCGUUGUCAUGGGAAUGGCAGCCCAUAAUGCAAGCACACACACACACAAGCUCUCUCUCUCUCUCUCUCUCUCUCUCUGUCGGCCAGUCUAACCUCGCGUCAGUCAGUCAGAGAGAGUGCUGUGCCGUGUUUUUUUUUCUUCUUUUUGCUCUGGGACCACAAAGAGGUGGUCUGCGGUCCGGAUGUGGACCGCGGUCCGCCUAUUGCAGACCCUGGCGCUAUACUUCCUUUCAGACUCCAUACUUCCUUCAGACAUUCUUUCGAACUCUACACUUCUUUUCAGACUCUAUACUUUCUCAGACUCUAUACUUCUUUUCAGAUUCCUUUUAGAUUCUCUAGCUCCUUCAGAUGCCAUACUUUCCUUUUAGAGUCUAUACUUCCUAUCAGACUCUAUACAUUGUUUCAUACUUUAUACUAUCUCAGACUCUUUACUCUUUUAGGCUCCAUACUUUCUUUCAGACUCUAUACUUACUUGUGUUUCUCACUCUAGUGUAUUAAAAUAUUAUUUUAGCCUCAGUCUGAAACACUUUGUUUGAACAAGCUUUUUCCAUACUAAAGAAUCCACUUCACAGUUUUCCCACACAUUUGAUCCACUCUUAGUAAGAAAAUCUCAGUUUUUCACAUUUUCCUACAUCUGUAAGAAGAACUGCUGACGGUUGACUUUCUGAGUUUGUCCAGUUGAUCAGUCAGACAUUGAGAGAGAUGAUUUGGUGAGUUUGAUGAACAUAUGUCACAACAGAGAGCGGGAGUCAUUUGUUCACAGCAUGGUGUGACUCUGAUAUGAGCUCUCAUUAUCACCUCUGUGAUGUGGAUGGAGGUCCCGCAGCUCCCCACAGGAAGCCUCCUCAUCAUUUGAGUGCCUUCAUUCAGGUCAAUUUGCCCUCAUUGUCAUCUCCAGCACCAGCAAAGUGCUAAAUCAAUUUCAGGGUCACAUUUAUCCUGGGGUAAUCGUGCGCUGCUAAUUGGCCCCGCAGCUGAAACCUGUCAGUCACCGAGGGGCGAACGGGAGGGGGAGGUAGGGUUAGGGGAUCACCGACACCAGCUGCUGCGCCGCAGCGUUCACCGCCUGCCCCAUGGUGUGAUGUCAGACAUUUUUUAUUAUUUUUUUAUUUCAAUGACUUCAUCAUAGCAAGACUGGUUUGAUGCCAAAUCGGAGAAGGCCGCUCUGAUUUGACCCCCAGCAGGGGCGCUGGUCUCAUGAACCUGUGGGGGUUGAUGAGCUCACAGCGGGGGAGAUCUGCUGCACGAAGCCGAGGCUCUGAUGUGCGGAGGCCUGAGGUCGAUUUCUGCCUCAGAUGCUUUAAUGUAAAGCUCCAUAUGUCAGGCCUGUCUGUUUGUGUUGACAUGAUCCCUCUGAGUUAAAUUUAAACUCAGCUCAGGCUGCUGCUGUGAAGAUACUCCUCUGUGCUGGUCCUCAUUUAAAUAUCUGACUUUAGUACACGUCUUUAACGCCACAUAAAACAGCUCCACUGCUUUUUGAAACCUGCUUCUGUGACUGACGGGGCUGGAAACUAACAAAGGGUGUCCAGAUAGCAGAAAUGUAAGCUUUAAAACAACAAAUAUUGAUAACAUAGACAAUAAUGACACUGGAAGCUGCAAUUAGUGGUAUAUAGCAGUAAUUACUUGUAAAAAUUGAUCAUGGUUUUUAAAAUAUACCGUUGAUGUAAAGUUCAGGUCCCCUUUCACAGAGGUCCUGUUCACAGCCCUGUUUCUACAGUAGCCUAGAGCGGACAAACUAGUAACAAGCGCUUUUUUGUUGUGAACACAAAAUCCGCCAGCAGCAGGAAGAAAAAGAAGAAGACAGUGGUUGUUAUUGUUAUUCGUACCUUUAAUGGUAAAAACCUGACACAUGUAGGAUCAUACUUAUGAUCACUUCACUGACUUGAGGGGUUAGAAAGGGAGAGUUUUAAUCUAUUAUCUGGUGCUAUCUGUCACGAUAUGUUCUGUUAAUUUAGUUUUUCUGUUUUUGUUAUCUGAGUGCAUUUUAUUUUAUUUUUUUCCCCAUAGUGUUUCUGUUCCCUAUUGUUCCUGUGAUCUUGUCUUGUGAGUUUUCAGUUUGUGUUUGACCCUGUUUCUCUCGUGUUCUCAGUGUUUUAUUUUUUAGAAUCAGUUUUCAGUGUUUAUUUCCUGUUUUAUUUUGUAGUAGUUGAUUCCUUGUGUUUCUAGUCUAGUUUUACUCCCCUAGUUUUCCCUCCUUCGUUAAGCACUCAUAAGUUUCACCUGUCUCCUCUGCCUCACCUGUUGCUCGUUAGAGCUCGUUACCCUGUGUGUGUAUAUAGUCCCUGUCUUCCCCUGUUUCUUGGUUCGGUUCAUUGCGUGCGUGCGUCUGCCCAUUAAAACGGAACAUAUCAUGACACCGUUGCUGAAUACUCCACUUUCUAUAUACUGUAUUUUAAUUUUGAAAGCCCCAAAAACAGCCAUUGUGAGCUAAUGUCUGUCUAUCCAUCCAUAUUUUCUCCUCAAGACUGAUUGACACAGAUAUCUGUAUUUUAAGUGCUCAGAAAUGAUUAAAAUGUUCAAUAACAUUAAUAUACUUAUAACCAUCCAAAAAGGUUCAUUCAUUCUGACUAUAAAACACAUUAAAAGAUUCAUGUAUCUGGACCACUUAGACAUGUUUCCACUACACACUUCCUUCAGUCUUCCCUGCAAGAGUCACAUGGUGAUGUUUUGACGUUGUCUGUCAUCCUCUAUUAAUCAGCUGAGAGGCAUCGUCACAAUGUCACAUGACUCUAGUAGUCAAAAUAUAUCAAGUUAAAAAGGAAAAACACACCGGUCUGGGUAAGAAGAUGACAAAUCACUGCACUGAAACUUACACUGUGUUGUUUCCAGUGAUACAGAACUACAGUAACAACACUCAAAUACACAUCACAGGGUAUAUUUACUUCAUGAACAGUAUAUAAAAGUAUUGACCCUGUUUUAACCCCAUCAUGGGCCUCAUGCUGUGUGUCAGAUCACUUUAGUUAUUUCUGAAAGCAUUAGAGCUUUAUUUCUGCCAGCUUUUGUCAAUGUAAAUGAGUCACAGCUUCAUAUUGAUCAUAGAGUUGUGUAUUGAUCUCUUGCUGUGAGUAAGAGUGGUUUUCCACAUGAGGAGCUCAGCGUGGGUCUGGCUGUGUGUGUGCUGGAGAGAUCUGUAUGAUCAGCAUCAUACAGCCUAAAGAGUGCGAGUGUCUGUACGGAUCUGAGGGUUCGCUUUAAGGCGUUUAAGACUGAUGAGGACAGAGGCUCUGGUUUGUCGUCUUCAUAAUCCAGCUGAAUGAUCUCUAACAAAGCUUAAUGAAGCAUGAAGCUUUAACUCUUCUCUCCUCUAACUCCUCCAUCCUUCAUCCCUCCAUCUGUGAUCAUACUGCCAUUAGAGAUUCAAGUCCUGCCCAUGUAAUGUAGAUGAACUCUUUAUCAAUAACUGUUAUCAGGAUCAAACUCAUGAGAAAGGCGUUCAUAUCAGAGUGACGUUAAACGAUGGAUGAUACCAGCCUAAGGCUGGUUCAAUACCUAAUUUACCCUCCCUCCCUCCCCUCUGUCUUAAAUGAUGGAUCAAUCAAACAUGGCUGUCUGUUUGAUUUAUGCAGCAGGAGGAACAGAAACAGUCUCUCUGCUUUAAAGGGAAGCACUCCUGCCCUAAAUACUCUGAAUUUCACCUAAACAGGGCUGUAAAGUGGAGUUCAGUGGCAUCGUCAAGCAUUUAGACCUAUCAAAUAUUUAAGAAUUGGCAGUUUUUCACUUUUAUUCCAAAAAGUUAAAACGUUUUGUUUUGAAGGAUUGCAACUCACUUAAAACCUGUAUUUAACUGUAAAUAGUGCAAAGACUUACCAUCAGGGAUGCCGGCUGUUGAGGUGUGUAAAGCCAAAUGGCUGUUUUUUUCAGUAGAGUGAAGGAUAGGAUGUCCAAGAAUUUCAAAUUAUGAGCCAGGCUCGGGUCCAGAAAAAAUUCUGGUGUUCUGGAUCAUGUUUCUAUCUGGUUUCCUCUUCGCAUGAUUAACCUUCAUUUCUGUAUGCAGUGAUGAACUGUUUUCACAUGUGUUCACGGAGGAAAGUUGUUAGAAGAUAUUUGAGCCACUAGUCCACGUAUUCUUUCACAUAAAACAAUAACAUCUUCAGUUUCAACAUGCUUUGCACAAUUUUCAAUCGAAUUGCAUGUUGUUCCAUUGUCUGAUUCACCGGUAUAUCCAACAUGGCUGACUGGCUGAUUGUUCAUAUGUCGGAGAACAGAGUGCUUUUUGAUAAAAGACACAAAUAUUACAAAGAUAACGACCUGAAGGACAACUUGUGGAGAGUCAGAGCGUCAGAUUUCUCAUAUGACGAUGUUUUAUGUGCUUGAACAGUUUGCUAAACGUCUUUGUUUUAACUUUCAUCUGUGCUAACGUAAGCUAACGGUUGUUACCAUAGUUUCAUGUGCUUAUCUGGUACUGGCCCUGACUCAGUACAUGCUACCAUGACAGAAAGCCAUCUCAACAUUAGUGUCUAGUGUCUAGUCCUCUGCCUCUUCAAACUUGAGGCUAAUUGUUUCAGCAGAACUUCAAUUUGUUCAAUGGACAUCCGAAAAAAUGCUUCUGAAGCGACGGUGAGCUUCACUGUUUGGUUCAGGAGCUGAAACUGUACCACAAAGUUCUCUUUUUUUUGUAAUAUUGGAUGCACCCAUUGAGAAAGCAAAAGGAGUACCAAUUCGCCAUCACUUGAAGUUGAAGUAGACUCCAUUUUUGUCUUCUCGCAUCCACCCGGGACACUGUAGGAUGGUAUGGGAAAGUCCUGCCCUCCUUUGCCAAACGGUCAGCACUUAUAGCCAAUAAGUGCUGACCGUUUGGCUUGAGCAUGUGAUGACAUUUCCAGCUUUUCCAGCCAAUCAGAGGCAAAGGAGGCGGGACUUUCCCCGGGAAAAUUCUUCCCUGGGAUGUGUCUUUUUCCCCCCGGAAAGUCGCAAAAUCGCAUCGGGCUUGAUGUGUAUAGUCAGGCACAUCAAAAUUUGUCUCUGAAUAUUUCGUAAUUUCGCGUUCUAUAUUUAUGUCGGCCCCGGUGUAGCUUUAAUGUUGAUUAAAUAUAGUCUGCACAGGAACCUCAGAUUGAUAACACAGCAUAGCAGGACCCUUAAGAGUGUUAGAUAAGUUUUGCUGAAAUAAACCAAGAGUAAAGAACUUCUGUUGGGAAACUUUUGGUACUUUUUAUCCUUGGCUCAUGAAAAGAUGAUGAAAAAAGGGAACAAUAUCUAUCAGAUUAUCCUGCUGUAUACUUUGAUGAUAUUAGGGUCAUAUUUUGUUUAAAAACCUCUUGUACAGCAGAUGAAACUCGUCUUGAUAUUUCUGUUUUUUCUCCGUAGACCCUUCAUUUUCACUCAUUACCCACAAUGCAAAGAAAGAUGCUGGGUUCAGAGGGAAUUUUCUCACUAAUAUCUACACGCCAAGACACAAAUCAAUUGCAGGGGGGCAAAUAGCUUUUUGAUUAAGAUUCCCUGAGCGCCUAAUGAAGAAAGCUCUCUGUAUAUACCCUCCUCCUGCUCCUCUUCUUCCUCAGUGUGCUUAUUGAAGGGGAAGUUGGAAUCUAUUAGGAUGAAGAGCUCUCGUCUGGUUAGUGGGAAACAUGUAGACCUCUAGACGUGAGAGAUGGAGCGAGCCAGGCAUUACAGAUGGAUGGCGGGCAGUGGGCGUAUUGAUCGCGCCCCAAAACUCAUCAAGCCGUUCUGAGAAAAUGUCCAAUGGAUCCGGCAGCAGGUCUGCUCAGCCUCUCGGCCUCUGUGGUUCUCUGGGUGGCUAACGACAAAUCUGCAGAUAUAUGUCAUCCAAACAUACGGCAGGCUGCAGCAUUAGUCAUCAACUCCUGUUACAAGCUGUUUUUCCUCCCAUUAAAAUACUGAUAGUGUUCAUCUGGAGUCCGUGAGGCUGAUACAUGAGGGGAGCUGAGAUGGAGAUGAAGGUCAGGAAAAGAGAGGGAGAUGUCUUCAUGCAGUGUGUAUGAGUACAGAAUAAGAGAUGGAAAAGUGAGGGGAGGAUGUUCAUGACUUUAUCAAACUGAACGAAAGUUCACAAAACUGUUAGCGAGAAAGUAAAACAAAGUCAAGUUCAACCUACAGUGCAAUAGCUGAUAUUAUGACUAGCUCAUAACAGCUAAGGGGGGCUUUCACACUUACAUCAUUUGGUUUGGACUUUCAGACUUUUCUUUUUAGUCUAUACCAAAAUAAUAGGUGUAAAACCACCCCAGGACCUUCAUCCGACUAAACGAGGUGGUUUCAGUCAGUACCAAACUGAACCAAGGUCUGAUUAAUGUCCGGCAUGAAAGCAUUAUUUUGAAAGGUUCGGACCUUCAGACCAAAGACAGGAAAUGAUGAGAGGAGUAGAAGUAUCUGUAUUUAUGUUGAAUGGAGAUUGUCUAAUAAUGGGUUUUCAAGAGUUUUACAACACAGACUUUUCUUCCAGUGACUUGCAGGAUUGUAUACUUUCUUUUCCUUUCCUGUCGAUGUCGAUAUAGUUGUCGUCUAAUGAUCAUAUUCAUGAGACUUCCUCAGACCAGCCUCAUGCACAGCUCCUCAGGUUAUUGCUGUUGGUAGAAUGAUAAUUUCAUCCAUGUUUACACCAUUCAAGCCCCGCGCUUUUCAACGUGUUGAUGUCAGACACCAACCUGCCUAAUAACCAAUCAAUUUAAACUACAGAGACACACAAAGCACAUAGUUGAUGACGCUAUCACGUAGGUUCGUAAUGUAAAGUCUGUUAGUCCAUUUUCAGUAAUGACAGUGUGAAACCCUAAACAGACCAAACCAAAUGUAUAUAAUGUGACAACUCGCACCUUGGUCUGGACUUGCAGGUGUGAAAACACCCUUAGUUAACAAGUAACAGACUCCUGGUUUAUUAGAGAGAUUAUUGUCAUUUUGACAUGAUCAACAUCAUUUGGCAUCAGCUCCUUAAAUGCUAAUAUCACUUAGAUCUUCUCUAAAUGAUAAUACAUCCACAUUAACAGAAAAUUAUAUCUAACAGUCAUUGACUAGUGCUUUUAUAGUGUAUUAUUUAUUUUACAUGUAGUAUGAACAACAAUAUCAGCCAUGUUCACCACUUUUGUAAAACUUGUGGAUUGACUUAAUCUUGGCUAAUCUUGACCUGUUGUUUGGUGCCCUGCAAUUAAUGACUAUUUCAUGAGUGACCUUUGAGUGACCUUUGUAAAUGAAAUAAUGGGAAAAUAACCUCAUAUCCUUAAAACGUAGUAAAACAGAUCUGUUAAAAAGCUCUACACAGUACCCAUCAUUCACUGAGGCCCUUAUGCUCAUGAAAAAGGUAGAAAAAGGCCCCCAACUCAUCGAGCUCAUGUCUGCAAUAUAAUGAAUAUCACUUAUGUAAUAAAGAUUGGGGGCUCUAUUUUCGUGCCCGCCGGCAGUGCGGUGGAGGGUGGCGCACCCCUCGCAGUGGUAUUUUCGUCUUGUGGAGCCCAGUGCACUGCCAGUUUGGUAUUUUUGUAGACUGAGGUGCACCAAGCUGGGCGUAGUGGUGCAGUAGGGGGGGAUGUCAACAGAAUCAGUUGGUGCAGUGACAUUUGCGUGCUCGCCGGGGACAUGGAAAGUGGACGCUUUCCCUUUUGGUUGAAUUUCUGACCAUGACAAUACCAAGUGGUCUUUGCUGCUGCUGCUCCUCCUGCCUUGGCUUUUCAUGUAUUCAUAUGAAACAGAGGAUGAUUGCUCUACCCGCCUUAAACUUCUGCACUCCUUAUGUGCAUGUGGAAGAUGCAAAUAAUUAAUUUUCUCUGACAAAAGUGGUCCUGAUUUAGGUGGUUUUUUGUAGAACUGUGAAACAUGUAACUACUAGGAAUUUUUAUGCACUGCUUGGACCUCUUCCACCAAAAUCAAUAGAGAGUUUUGGAUUAGGAGGCUUAAAGUGAUGGGGGCUCUCUGGUCAGAUAUUUUUCUGGCUUUAUUUUUCACUUGAAUGAAAUUACAGUACAGAAAACAUUUGUCAUUUUCCUGGAGAUCUUCUUGAACCUCUCCACUCGUCCCUGCCUGUCCCUGGACCUGUCUCUGAGAGCCUCUGCAGUAUCCAUCAUCCUCUCCAUGUGUCCAGCAGAGCCUCUCCUCUCCGCCUGCCCUCUCUGCUUUCAUAAGAGGCUUUCUGUGUCAGUGAAUUUUCUGCACCCAUGCCUCCCGUCCACACACUAACCCCAGGGGCGCUGCCUUGUUUUAUGCAUGUCCUCUUCCCGUCGCCAGGCCCAUAAAUGGUCUCUCAGCAGGGGAAAGUGGGCCAGGGCUGCUGCCUGCCACUCACAUGGGAAGUGCAGGGCAGCUGAAUGCCACUGAUGGUCUGCCCCGAGUCUCUCUGACUGUGGCUGAUUAACCUCCACCCCCCUCCUCUCCAACCUCCCUCCUCCAUGCCAGCUCCCGUCCUUAAUACACUCACAUACUGCUCUCUCUGACUCCAGGAAACUGACUGUAAAACUCUGAUUGCACGGGUCAUCUGCUCACAAACUGCUUGGUUGUGAGGGAAGCAAACAUCCCCGAUAAAUACACGACGACGGCGAGUCCCUCAUAGCCUGAGGAAAAUUUGAGUGCAGAAGAAAAAAGUUUGGCAGGAGUCUGAGAAAUCCUUGAAAUAAUUGGAGAUACUCUAUUCCAUGACAUCCAAACAGAUGGUCAAGGAGUGAAACAGAAGCUCAAUUUGAAUUCCUCAAACACCAACUCAUCUUCAUGUCUCUAGGCAGAAAGACUCAUCAAGUUCCCAAAAGCUUAGACGGAUAAACAAACACUUUAAAAGGAAUGUGUCAUAUCUUGGUAUAAAUGCCUAUAUAUGGAGAAACCUAGAUCCUUGAGGCUGCCUCCAAGUGAACCUGAUUACUGCUCUUUUUAAAAUGCUGAGUUUAAAGGAUGAUUUCACAUUUAUAGUGCAGAAGAUGUGGUUUCUUUAUGUCCUUUUUUAAUUUAAGCAAGGUCAAAAGUUAGGUUGAGGUGAUUGAUAAAAUUUCCAAAGAUAGAUUAAGGAGAACACUUUGAAUUUAAAAUCCUUUAUUUCAACUUUCUCUUUAGUUUUGCACCAGACGAGCUUCAAACUAAAGAUCUCCACACCCCCAAACAGUGAGCGAGACAUUAAAGCUUCUCCAUUACUGCAUGACAUGGAUUUUUUAAAAUCUCUUAACCCUGGAACACUAUCACUAAAAUUAGUAACAUCAUCACUAUCGCCAGGUGAUUUUUACCCGAAAUAAUAUACCCAAGAAAAAGUACUUGUCAUCAAAAUAGGACAAUCCAUGACAAAAUAUAACUGAAAUCAUUCAUGAACAAAAAAAUCCCCCCCCCCCCCCCCCCACACACACACACACACACACAUUUUCCCAUAUUUUUUCCAAAUAUUCACACUUAUGUCACUCAAAACAUAUUUUGGUUAAACAUUUGGGCUAAAGUUAGCUGAUAGCAUUGGGGAAACAGAUACAAUUAGCUGGUCCAGUGUGUUCAAAUGUUAAUAUUAAGCAACAUUUAGAGGUUCGAUUCUAAACUGAAGCACUCCCUUGCUCACCCCUCUUAUCUGUGCAGCAACGGUUGCCUUGAAUGUCCCUCAAGAAGUUCCUAAAACUCAUCAAAAACAUCUGUUAGUGGAUGUUCUGUUGUACUCCUUCUGCCACUAAAACCUCACUAAAAACAAAAAUCCCUGUAAAAAUAUGUUUUUGUUACAAAACAGAGGUCUCUGUGAUGGGAGAUCCACUCUAACGUAGAUAAAGGGUCUUUAUGUGUUAACAAAAACAAAACUAGGUGAUUACCUACUACUGCAGACAGACUUAUAUUUAAUGUCGGCUGAGUCUGCUCUGAUAAAUGCUGCUGGAAACCACACUCUGGACCCUUGAGGGAGCUUGGCGUUUGAACAUCUGGUGAAAAAAAAAUCACGCUCUCCGCUGUGGGGUCAUUUUGAGAUUCAGUAUGUAAACUCUAAAGCCUGUCGUGUUGUUUCUCUAAAACUGAAUGUCAUGUCCUUCGUUGAGUCAAACCACCGACUACAGCUUUUCAGACUUCCAGGCUGGAUUUUGUUACUAAUCUCUGGACAUGGAAAUCUUUGGACUAAGGGGCACAAAAGUUUGCAAAGUGUUUUGACCAAGAAGGAUCAUGCUGAAAAUGAACAUGCUGCUCUUUCAAAAUCUCUGAAGAAUGAGCAUCAACUCUUAAAGUUAAGCUGACUUUUCUCCUCAUAAGCACUAAAACCAGUGAAUGCGGGUCCUCCAUACUGUUGACCAAGUAAGAAUCAUUGUUAAUGGACACUGAGGAGAGCUGACAGCAUGUUGAGAGUUAAUCAGAGCACAUGAGAUGAAGACAUGGACAUGUCAGUCAAUGUUCGGUCCCUCCCUUACUUUCCUGAUAAUGAAACAAUUGCACAGUUUCUUGGUUGGAGCUGCUCUAUAAUGCUGGGGGUCCCCGGACGCUCCCUGAGAUAGUCUUCGACAGACAAAUUAGCUGCAGAUUGCUUUGAGCCGACAGAGAGGAAAGCAGCAGAAAGAGGAAUGAGUCUCCGUCUUACUGUAUGCGCACUUUUGUUUGUUUGUAUGCACUGACAUUUCAAAGCUUUUCUAUUCUCUGAAUGUGCUCAGCAUCAGAAUCAGGACCUCCUCGUGUUUCCGCUGAUGGACGGAAAGUUAGCAGUCUGAAACUUCUCUUGUUUGGAUACAUAUACAUCCACUGAGCUCAGCGGGGGGGGCUGUGAGGUGAGACCACUGGUUUUACAUUUAGAUGAAGCUUUUCCUAAAAGUUUUUGAGUGCUGUUUUGGUGUAUACCAGACACAAACGCAGACUAGAAAAAAGAAAUUGAAAUACUUUUGAGUCUGUUCAUGUCAUUUUGGGUCAUAAGGAAAGUGCAAAAAGUUGUAAAACCUCUCAACUACAUUGCUCCAGCAUGCAAACACUUAAUGGACAUUAAAGUCAGUGGGGUAAAUGGGCCCACCAGAGUACGUUCACUUCAGGUGUGUGCUUUUUUCAGGCCUUACUUGCACAAAAACAGCCGCAUUAGAGUCAUCAGUCUUUCCUUUGAAUGAAGGAAUAACAUCAUUGCAUAUAGAUGUGUAAAAACGACUGAAACACUAGAGCACAGACACCGCUUAGUCGUCUGCCAUUGCUGUUAAUGUCCUCCUACUUGUGCAAGACUCUUGAACGAGGCUGUAACAUCACUAUCACUACAGAAUAUGUUCUUAAGUGGAAAACAUACAGCAUCUGUACUGAUUGUUUUGUGUUACUGAUAAAUCCAUAACCAAGAAGUAUUUUAUCUACAUGACCUGAUACACAGUCGGGAGUCUGCAUAUGGUGUUUUAUUUUGAAACUUACCGGAUGACAUGCGCGGUUUUUCGUGCUUGACUUCCUGUCUAGAAUGAUCUUCUCUUGUGGCUUGACAUGUGUUGGAAGCGUAGAGCAGCAAAAACAGACUUGGUGCGAAUCUUUAGCAGAGCUGCGCUUGAUACGCUUCUAAAGGUCCUUACAUGCCAGGAACGACGCAAAUAUACGACACAAAAUUAUGAAAAUUUCGGAGGUGAAUUUUGACAUGCCUGACUGUACACAUCAAGCACGAUGCGAUUUUGCGUCUUUCCGGGGGGAAAAAAGAUGCGUCCCGUGAAUACAUAUGGUAUGUUGUAUCUGAACAGGUUAGCUUACGAGCUAAAGUUACUUAGCACUAAUGAAAGUCAAACAAAGACGUUUAGCAAACUGUUAAAGCACACAAACCAUCAUCAUAUGAGAAAUCUAACGCUAUGACUCUCCACAAGUUGUCCUUCAGGUCAUUAUCUUUGUAAUGUUUGUGUUUUUUUAUCAAAAAGCACUCUGUUCUCGUAAACAAUCAGCCGGUCAGCCAUGUUGGAUAUACCAGUGAAUCUGACGUCACAACAACACGCAAUCUGAUUGGUCAGAAGUGGACACACAGUAUGUGAAACUUUAGAAAAUACGACCGUGAUCUGAAAAAAUUAAAUGCCGCAAUAUCGCAGGAUGGGAAAACGUCGCUGAUAUAAACGGCUGUAUUGACAGGAUACGGGUUCGAAAAAAAUAGAAUAGACAUCCAAAAUAAUCGCACAACAAAAAAAAAAAACUAGCCUGGUGUGUAAGGACCGUCACUCGACGUUACGGUGUUUUGACCCUUAAUUAAUUUUACGCCGAAAUAUCCCUUUAAUUGUUCAGUAGUUAGUUCGCCGUGUUAGGGGAGUGGAAGACAUUAGCCUGGGGUUCCCACUCCGUUGACUCGCUCUUUCCGCGUUUUGACACACCCACACUGUCUUGCGAGGUUAGCCGACAGACAGAAUGUGAUUGUAAGGUACAAUACCGAAAUUUCACCAAAGUAACAGAACACCAGUAAGGGAGUGAUUGGGACGGAAAAAACAACUAACCCAGACAACAGCUUUCACUGUUGAUGAAACGCUAAUGAAAGUUUCUAUUUCUGACCUCUUUUGUUGGUUUCAGAUAAUUUAUAUGUUUAACGCUUGUCAGAUGGCCCCUUGAGAAUUUCUGGAAUCAUGCACUGGUUUGCAGAGAUUAAAGUCCUCGAAUAGGGUGGUCUGGGUUUGAUUCCAGCUCUUUCUUCCUAGUUUCUGAAUCUGUGCACUGUCCUCUCUGUGGAUUAAAGCUUGAAAGCUCAGUACUCAACCAAAAGAAGUUGCACAACAUCCCAAAGUAAGAAUUUGUCACUGCAGAAGUAGACAAACCACUUUUUAGUAGAGUUUCAUGGCAUCAAAGAAAAAAAUGUAACAGCUGAUUCAAGGCAAAAUAAGGUAUCCCAGUCUCUAAGAAGAUCUUUGUCUGCAAAAUUCGACUGUGAUACAUAAAAUAAAUGCCGCAAUAUCGCAGGAAAACAUUGCUUGUAUUGACAGGAUACAGGUUCGAAAAAAAUAUACAAGUCCAACAAAAAAGCUCCAGGUGUGUAAGGACCUUAUGCAACGAUGCUACAAUGGAGCUGAUACGUGUCAUGUGUGAUGCUGCAUUGAUUAGAAUGGCAACCUAAGUGCUGCGUGACAUGCGGCGCUGACAGAACACGCUCAACACGGAUCCUGUAUGUUUUAGGCUUUAGAGUUCAUGACAGAACUGGUGGUGUUUCCAUAAUCCACUCUGCACUGUGGAUUUAGGAUUGUUUAACUUGGGCCUCGUUGACACAAAAACCUAACAUUGUGAUGCAGGAGUAGACCAACAGCUCCCGUGUCCUACAGGGCAAACUCGUGUUGUUUUUGUAUUGAAUUCAGAGACAUUAAGGAGCAGUUCGUCGGGGUUUUGGGCUCUACUCUGCAGGGAUCCUUUCUGUAAUGUUGUCAAAGAAACAAGAACUUUACAAGGACGUACUUUCACCCCUGAAGCUUACACUGCAGCCAUUACAGCCACUUCAUAAAACAAGCAACCAAACUCAAUCUGUUAGUGUUCUGUUCAUCAAGUAGAUCGCAGAUAAAACAAAGUUGGUGCUUUAUGUUUGUAUGCAUUCAUGCUCUUGAUGUUUUGUCUUCCUGCCUGUUCUUUUAUAGUCUAUUACUCAUCCAGUGAUAUGAUGUCAAAGGAAGAUGUCUCUGCUUAAAACUGCAGGCUCUGAACUGGUUUGGAUUUGGGAAACUGGGCUGUGCUCAGACAAAAAAAGUAAAAUAAGCACUUGUACAAAACUCUGAACAAGUGAAAGCGCUCGCAGGUAGAGAAGUGGAGUCUCUCCAAAAUGAACCCUUUUAAGUUGAGCCUUUAAUGCUCCGGCUUUCAGAUAUUCUCUGCAGGGUUACAGCCGCUCUCAGGCCUGCCUGCUAAACUUUAGUGGACUAAUAACCCUGUAUGCUCCAGAGCAGCAGGAAGCCAGCUCCAGGGAUGUGUGUGUGCCUUCAAAAAAAUUAAUUUAUGGAGGUGAAAAUGAUGCUUCGAAUCCUUGGCAGAGGGGGAAAUAUUUGUGCCUGCUGCAGUGAAUGCUGAACGCUCCAUCUCCAGUCUCUGCAUUUCUUUUGUAUGGGAAGUGAUGGGGUCAGUGCAGACUGCUUUGAACCAUAAGCAGAGUCCAGAUUUAACUGUCAGGUAAAUCCCUCUGAGCCGCAGAUCAAAGUGCCAGAUGACAGCUCGCUCUCUCUGUAGACCCAGCAGCAGAGAAAUGUUGGGCUUGUUCCUGAGCUCACAGCUUUUUAUCGGGGAUAUUUCAGACUUUGUGAACAGCCAGCAUGCUUCAAUUAACUUUAACAUGUAGUGAUCGUCUGUAAUCCUCUGGUUUGCAAACAUUAAUGCUUUAAGUCUCCUCUUUUGGAGGUCCAUUUUAUUGUCGCUUUCACAGAUUGGAUAUAUUUGUUCACCUGUUCAGUGCCACGGCUUUAUGAAUUUGAAGAUCUGGUUUCAUCAGAUUUGAUUUUCCCUCUGAGAGAUGCAAGGACAGAAAAACCCUGCACACAUAAUCUCAUUUGGGGUUGAUUUUCAGCUUUUAAUUUUUAAAGAUGUUUGCAGGUUUGCACAAAAACCAUAAUUUAGGUUUUAAUUGAAAUUUGUCUGUAUUAUAUUUUAGAGCAAAUGUGACUCAUGAGCAGGCACGAAUGAAUUCAUCAUACAGGACUUUUCCCCAAACACAAGUCUGGUGUAGUCCUUGUCUAUUUUCAGUUUAUUUCUGAGCAAAAAUCGUAAAAAUGUAACCACUUUGUUCAUAAAAAGUAUGGUGUAAUUUUUUUUCUCUGGUCUGAAGUAACCAAACCCAGAUACGUGGCUGCCAAUUUCACCCAUUUUUGGACAUCUUCUUUAUCUGUUUGGUGAAACUUGUGAAGCAGAAGCAGUGUUUGGGUUUUAGUGCUGUGCCUUAGACACAUUUUAAAACUUUCAUUUUGUUCAGUUUCUUGUAGAGGUUGUUCUUGAGACGUGAUGUGACUGGGCUGAUUUCAACCAAAGCUGUCAGGUACCAGUUUGAUGUAGUCGUUCAAUCUUGCAGAGCUGGAGCUUGUCAACAGGUAAGGCAGGCAGUUGUUUGGGGCCCCAGGCCACUAGGGGGCCCCCAAGGGCUGUCAAACCUUUUUCCACAAAAAUGUCCUGAAAUACUGCAACCCCAUUCAACAGCUAAUGGUCAAAAUGCAAUGACAUCUUAGACGGAUACCCUCCUAAAGGGGCCCCAUUAAUUUAAGGUCAAACACACCGUAACACUACGUUAGACACCCCCUCGAGAGAUGAAUGUUGCCGAUUGCUUUCUUCUCUAGUUAUGCCAACUUUAGCAAAGACCACAUACAGAGCCACACACAAACUUCAAUCAAAACGCCACUCUAUAUCAUUUCUUUAUCGUUUCCUUGAAGUAAUAAUCACCAUAUUAAUCAUUUUGCACUGCAGACGCAGGAGUUCCUCUGCCUUCGUGUCCCAGGUGGAAGGUUGUUGCUUUACUUUCAACGUUAGGUAACAACCGAGACCUAAUGGUGCUGUGACAGCAAUGCAAAUGAGUUUGAGAAAGUGAAAAUACAUAUGGUAUGUUGUAUCUGAACAGGUGAGCUUACGAGCUAAAGUUACUUAGCGCCGAUGAAAGUUAAAACAAAGACGUUUAGCAAACUGUUAAAGCACACAAACCAUCGUCAUAUGAGAAAUCCGACGCUAUGACUCUCCAGAAGUUGUCCUUCAGGUCGUUAUCUUUGUAAUAUUUGCGUUUUUUAUCAAAAAGUACUCUGUUCUCCGACAUGUAAACAAUCAGCCGGUCGGCCAUGUUGGAUAUACCAAUGAAUCUGACGUUGCAACAACACGAAAUCUGAUUGGUCAGAAGUGGACACACAGUAUGCGAAACUUUAGAUAAUUCCACCAUGAUAUGAAAAAAUAAAUAAAUAAAAAGGAUGGGAAAACGUUGUUGAUGUGAACGCUUGUAUUGACAGGAUAAGGGUUCGAAAAAAAAUAUUGACGUCCAAAAUAAUCACACGAAAAAACUAUCCCGGUGUGUAAGGACCUUAACUCGACGUCAUGGUGUUUUUGACCCUAAAUUAAUUUUAAGCCGGAAUAUCCCUUUAAUUGUUCGGUAGUUAGUUAGUUUGCCGUGUUAGUGAAGUGGAAGACAUAAGCCUGGGGUUCCCACUUCGUUGACUCGCUGUUUCCGUGUGUUGAACAUCCACACUGUCUUGCGAGGUUAGCCGACAGACAGAAUGUGAUUGUAAGGUACAAUACUGAAAUUUCAAGUAACAGAACACCAGUAAGGGAGUGAUUGGGACGGAAAAAACAACUAACCCAGACAACAGUUUUCACUGUUGAUGAAACGUUAUUGAAAGUUUCUGUUUCGGACUUCUUUUGUUAGUUUCAGAUAAUUUAUAUGUUUAACGCUUGUCAGAGGGGCCCCUUGAGAAUUUCUGGAAUCAUGCACUGGUUUGCAGAGAUUAAAGGCCUCGAAUAGGGUGGUCUGGGUUUGAUUCCAGCUCUUUCUUCCUAGUUUCUGAAUCUGUGCACUGUCCUCUCUGUGGAUUAAAGCUUGAAAGCUCAGUACUCAACCAAAAGAAGUUGCACAACAUCCCAAAGUAAGAAUUCGUCACUGCAGAAGUAGACAAACCACUUUUUAGUAGAGUUUCAUGGCAUCAAAGAAAGAAAUGUAACAGCUGAUUCAAGUCAAAAUAAGGUAUCCCAGUCUCUAAGAAGAUCUUUGUCUGCAGGGAUCCCUUUUGUAAUGUCAGACACUCACUUACUUGCUGACUUUAAGGUGAGUCCCUGAGUCUCUGUUAAGUCGGUGAGGGCUUAGGGGUGUCAGUGAGUACGAGACUUUUGAGCCCUUUAUGCACUUUUUCCAUAAGUGGGCAUAUCUGCAGAUUUAGAGUGAGGGAAUUACACCUAGUUCACAGCACUGUGACGUGAACUAUGGGAUCUCCAGGGGAAGCCUGCAAGCAUGGAGGGGUGAGAGAGAGACUGUAAACAAGACGCAACAACCCCAGUUUCGUCUAAAUACGAAAAAAUGCCUAUCACAGUCCUAGGUAGAAACAGCACUUUACAUUUGCUACAGUUUCUUGCAGGCGUGGUCCACUCUGCAACAUAAUUUAGCUAAUUCAGAGAGACUCAUCCAAACACUCAUCUCAGCCUGAAUGUGAGCUCUGCCCAGAACAUUUUCAGCACUUCACUUUGCAUCAGAAAGCCCAUUUGUUUGCAGUCAGGGUCACAGAGUGCUGUCCCAUUACUAUCUACACCAUUUUGGGUCUGCAGCCUUUGCACUCAGUCACUUUCCAAGUGACAUCAAUUAAAUCCCUAAGAGCUCAGGGUUUAAGGUGGAAAUUGAGAUUCAGCCUUUAAAUAACAACCAGAGUUCGCCAGUGACAGAAAUAAUAACUUUGAAAGAAUGGACUCUAAUCUGCAGCCAUCAUUGCCCGUUUCUCUCGAUCUGCCUCCGAUGUCACUACACCUGCAUAUUUUUGUGAAUGAAUAAGUCUUGGAUGAAUCGUUCUCAUGAUUAGCCUUUAAAUAGAACAAAUCUGAAUGAAUGCAUGCCAACCAGGAACCAGGACCAGCCCUUGGGACGUUCAUCGUUUCCUUUUUAUCAUCAACGUUUCAAAUUAGCCCAGACCUUAAACCAUCCAAAACCCCUAUUUUUGGAAUAAAAGUAUCUGGCAUGAUGAUUAACAUCCAGAAGUUAUGUUGUCACAAGGACAUUUAAGUCAUGCAGAGAUGAAAUUUUACCAAGACACAUAGUGGAAAGCUUCAAGUCCCACUCCAAUCAUUUUUUUUUUUAAACUACUUCAAGUGUUAUCAGUGGUCUUGAAAUUGUGAUUAUGGAGUUUUUAGCCAAAAUCACUAAGCUGUGUCAUUGUCAAGGACUUUUCUUCUCCAGUAGCUUAUUAGCAAAAUUCGCCUCUGAAUCGUAGGCGGAGACAGUGCUGCUCUGUACAAUCCUCUUCAUGCUAGCUAGCAGCCUAAUUUUGCUAGCUUAGAGGAAGUAGCAGGUAACAUAGGAGCUAUUCAGCCCUGCGACACUAAUGUCUUUAGGGACAUGAUGGACGCAAAUAUCAUAAAUAACUUUCUUAUGAGCAGUGCAAUCAGCUAACACACACGCUUGUUCCGUGAUCGUCCUCUGUGCUGGAGCUUGGAUUUGCUACGUUGGCAACUGUGUCUGAGCCUGCCUUUUGGGUCUGCUCGCGAUUCUCAGUGAUUUAAAUGCAGAAAUACUCAGAAAUACAAUUUCGCACUUAUUUUUCUCAUGAUAUGUCCUGUAGCGUCAGAAAAAUUCCAUAUGAACAUGUAGACAACAAGAAAAACAUGAUUUUUAUCGGAGAUUAGUGUUUCACUGUCACAAUUUUUUUAAAUCAAUAUCCACAGAAAGACAAUAAAAUUAAAUCAAAAUAAUGGAGAAAGGCUGUUUUUUUACAUUUAAUGUUUGUUCAGUCAGGAUCACUUUAGUCAAGUUUUAUUAUUUAUUACAAGCAAACAUUUUUACAUCGGCGGUAUGGCUCUGUUCUGAGGGUUCCCUGCCCUUCCAUGUGCUUGCACAGAAUGCCACAGCUAUACACCAAUUCGGGUGAGCGGUUUGUGUACACCGCCAUCUUGUGGUGGUGCCAUUGCUGCAGUGUGUGACAUCAUGAAGUUGUCAUGCUAUCAACAAAUAAACUAGUAAAUAGUGUCUCAGAGCAUCAUUGACAGCAUGAGUGAAGUCACCUGGUUUGAUGAUGUCAGACAGUGGCCUCCGGUUACUAAUGAAGGUAUCUUAAAUUAAUACCGAUAUUAAUUUGGGAAUUAAUAAGAUGAAAAGAAUGAAGUAUUUCAUUGUGAAAUACUGAAGUAGGAGGAAAUGUGUGUGUAAACACUGGCUAGGCUACAUUUAUACUGACCCUCGCAAGCUAAUCAUUAUGUACAAGCCUACGUGGUUAAAAAAUAAUGUAGGAAUUAAGUAUUUGUUUCGUGGGCGAUCAGUGUUAUGCCGAGAAAUGCAUGCCUGCCAAGAUCUAAAUGCGGGGCAUGGGAUCGUGCACAACUGAAUGGAUGUUACAUUAGCUCAGCUCUCAGCAACAUGGACAGUCUUCUUUCAGUAACGGCAUGUGCGUCUCACAUAUCGACUUUUUCCACAACUGUAGUGUUUUACUGUUGUUGUAACAGCCGAUGACGACACACGUCCUCCCAGACUGUCUUGACAUAGUUGUGCAGGGUUGCUUGUGUCGCUGCUCGCUGCUUACAGCACUGCUUCUCGUUCGCUUCGCACACACCGCAGUAAUGGCGGCCGUACUACUUCUGGUCAUUUCACCGAAUCAGUGUAUAAGAGGGGAGAGCUCCUCCCCUCCCUUUCAUGUGCAUACAUGAAUGCUUCUUAUUUGCUUUUUAUGACCUUUAUAUCAUAAAAAUGACACUUUCUGUUGUUACAGGUUGUUACAAGUUAAACUGACCUUUGAGGUUAUUCAGGAUCAUGGGGAUGGUCUGAACUCAGUCUGGAGCUUGGUUUUAUUUGAACUAAUUUCAUAUAAAAAGUUAUGCUGAUACUAACUACAACGUUCCAAUUUGUUUCAGAUCACACUUCCAAAUUUAAUGUUUGUGGAUAAUUAUGCGUUGUGCCAGAUGCUUUUAGCAAGACCAAACAGCCCUGAGCUGGUAGAGGUCUUAUCAUCCUUAGAUGGCCUACAGUCUGGGUUAACUAGGAACACUAGAGGAAAAAAGAAACAGACAAACCAAACCCCAGGGCCUACUUAAAAAAAUACUUUUGUGAGUUUUUUAGUCAUGUAGACCUCUCAGUGUGUAAUAGGAUUUCAGAUAUCAGAGUUUUGUCUGAUAACAAAAGUAGGAAAGCAGACGAGGUCUUCUGAAAUACGCUGCUCUUCUCUCUUUAGUUUACUCCAUUUGUCGGGCUUUUACCUGACGUCUACAUAAACCUGAAACCCACAGUGUGAUAAGUCAGAGUAUAAGGAUGUUCACUCCCUGGUUUUUGUGUGAUAUCAGACUAAUAACUCUGUUGUGUUGGUGCUUCAAUUCACGUCUGGCUCUCGGAGAGAAGUUUCACCCACACUAAUGGCAGAAAGCAGCUGAACAGGGUGAAAGGUAGAGAGAUGGAGAUGGGGCUUUCUGUGCACUCUAUAACACACUGGGAGAAACCUCUGUGUGUAUGUGUGUUUAAUGGAGGGCAUCCAACACUGACUGAAACACAAAAUCCACAGAGAUGAUCGAGUUCGCUGCUUAUAUGUUUUUAUAACAGAGUAAAAGAAAUGUCAGGAUGUCCUUUUAUGGGCCUUACAGGAAGUUGGUUUAGCCAUCCUGAGUUUGAGAAGUAUGUGAUCACCGCAAGACCGACCCAAGGUGUAAGCUGGAGACUCAGUACAUGACCAGACAAAGGAGAAGACCCUGGAGAUGUAUUCAUUGUUUGUUUCUUCUGUGAGAUGAUAAAAGUUUCUGAACCUGAGAUCUGACCAAAUCAGUGCAACUCUCAUGUGCGUAACAGUCAGAGCAGAGGGAGAUGCUUACAACAGUGUGGAUCAGUGGCGGAUUUAUGGGGUGGCUACUUGGGCUCAAGCCCCGGAUGUUUUCUCAAGAGCCCCAGGAUCUUGGCUCUGAGCUGGUCUGGGUUUAAUGUGCAGUAUUUGAGGUCACCAGAGAGUGGCAGAAUGCGCAGGAAAGCAGCCUGUAGCCUUCCUGUUUAGAUGAAGAAGUGUUUCCCUCUGGUGGCUGUUACUACUCUUCUACUCUACUGCCAGCAUCUAACGACGAGUCAAGUGACUCCACGGCAAAUUUUAACCCAUUUAAACCAGGACAGCUUGUGCGCAUUUCAACGUUCCAAGCCGGGAGCGCGGAUACGUCAUUUUGUAACAUUCUGUAGUUUUUCAAUCAUUUCUGGAGUCGUGGCGAAUCAAAUCAUCAUACCCGUCUACCUCUGACUCUGGCUAAUAAAUCUUAAUAAAGUGAUCGGGUUCAUGCUCGGAUCUUGCUACAUGCUUUGUGAGGAAAGUAAACAGUGACGGAGGCAGAGAGCAGCUUUGGAGGAGAAGAAUCCAGCAGUGCGAACAACCUCUCCAUAUUGAGUGUUUUGGCUCACACUUUAAGCGAUUCCUGUGAGUGUUUCAUGACUUUGGGUGAGCACAGACAUGAACACGCUGUCAGCAAAGGCAAAGAAGAUGAAAAAGGGUUGAGAAUAAAAGAUUGAAGAACAGAGCGGUAAAGGACAGCAGAGGUGCCAGCCAGGAUCACGGGUAUAGCAGUAAGGAAAUAAGAUUCAUUUAUCGUACUUUAUUUUACAUCUUUAGUUUGUGUCCUUUGUGUCUUUUGCCGGCUUUGAAAUGGUGGUAAGUUGAAGUAAAAAAAAAUUGUAGUUUUGUGUGCGUGGCAGCAAAAAAAGACUGAAAAAGUUAAUCGGCAUCUGCACCCUCAGGGCUGAGCCCCUAAUCGCCUAGAAUCCUCGAUCCGCCCCUGGUGUGGAUGUUCAUGAAUGUCUAAGAUAAGCUGCUUUUCUUUCUCCUUUCUGUUGAUCUUUGACAAAUUAUUUUUCUAGAAACUGAAAACAAAAUAAAAACAAAAAUCCCCCAAAUCCCUCAAUAUUUUAUGAUUCACACUUACGUCAAACUCUGUUUUAACUUCAGCUCAUCACAUACUGACUUCUGAUCUGUUUCAAGGCUCCCCUCAGUGACUGUUUCAAAGUCUGUCUCAUCCCCGUUGUUCCCCAAGUGAGGUGAAGUCUGAGUGAAGUCCAGUGUGCCUCGGUGUCUAAUCAGUGAGAGGACUGUUGUAAAAGCUGCUUUCAUUCAUCCUCUCUUAUCGUUCCUUUGAUUUCCCUCCUCUCACUUUGACCCUCUCCCAAUCCGAGCUGAGUUCAAGUCUUUGGGGUGCAAGUUAGCGAGACGAGUUUGUAAGUGCUUACCGCUGGACGGUGGGAGGCAGCUGGAGUACCUGGAGGGAUCCAGCUCAUGCGAACAAGCAUGUAAACUCCACAUAGAGAGAACCAAGCCAAGAUCAAAGCUCAUUUAUGCUCAACGUUACAUACAGAUCCGGAUACGGACUGACCUCUCUGUACGUGCCUCACAUUCUUUUUCUCUGUAUUUCUGUUUACAGAUUUGGGCUAGAUGGAGCAGUACCACCGGAAACCAUGGGGGCAGUGUUGCUACUGUCACUCCCCUAUACGCAUCUCUGUAGAGAAAUGAAGAAGACAAUGGUGGGGCUUUUUGAGGAAAUGUUGUGUGAGCAGGUACUCAAUUACAAACAUAUUGUCCGGGACACGGGGAUAAUAAACUCCGGAACAGCUGGGAGGAAAUUUGGAGAGAGCUAAUUGUUAGCUGGUCAGACGCGAAGGAGAAAAUCCACAGUCGCCAUGUUUCUUUUUGUUUGUUGUUGUCAGAAACUUUUAACUCCAGCCUGCCCUCUGGUGGAUGUAAUGUAAUUAACAUCCAUGCCAACAUAAAGGACGCAUGGAAGUAUGUAAGCAGUGACAGAACCAUCAUUUGAACUAGAUGCGUACAUUUUCAUAUGUACGGUGAGCAUAAAUGAGCCUUUAGAACCAGGACAACCCUUUUAAAAAUACGUCAACCAGAUAUUCAUAAUGAGUCAGUUAUGCAUUCAAUCCACAAACUAAGGAGGUUUUUUUUUUAAUCAAAGCACACAACAGAGCACCAAUCUUUGUCCACAGGGGGCGCCAAAUUUAAACAAAUUCAAAUUCAAAAGAGCGUAAAGGUAUAAUCUGGUGUAUAUUUAAGUUAUAGUCAACCACACCGUAAGACCUGGCGAGUCGAUCACCAAGCGGAAAAUUUAUGAUUAUUACUUUAUGGAAAUGUAAUUAGACCAAGACACUAAGACAGAAGAACUACCACGUCUGCAGUGCAAAAUGAUUGAUAUGAUGAUUAUAACUUCAAGGAAAUGAUCUGCUGCACAUGGUGAUCGACUUGUCAGGGCUCCCCCCACAAAUAAAAGGCUGCUGGAGGAGAGUGGGUGAGUUGUGUUUGGUCUUUUUGCCAAAGAAACCAGGCAAAGCUAAAAAGAUAUUUGGUGGCUAGUACUUUGGCUGGGACCCUAUAUGUACUGUUGAUGAAGUUAGGUGCUGUUCUGAGCAUUAUUUGUGUCUAUAGAGUGGCUUUUUGUUUGAGGUUUGCACGUGGAGAUGUAGACCGCUGUGUAUUGCUAUCGUGUGGUCGUUACUAAAGUUGUUAUAACUAAAGUAACAAGCAGUCCUCAACAAUCAUCUCUUGAGGGGGUGUCUAACUCGAUGUUUCGGUGUGUUUGACAAUAACAAAUUUUCACCAGAAUAUCCCUUUAAAUUGACAUGCAAAUACACAGUUUUUGAUAAAGCAUCCUUAUUUGCAGCAGACUGCCUCUGAAAGUGUAAAAACGUAAUCUUUUUGCAAGAUUGAAACCUUAUUUUGUCUGCCAAUACCUUCAUUUGAGGCCAUUUCACUUCAAAGCUUUUACCGUCCUGUGGUGAUUGCAUUUUAUUCUUCAUCCAUCGUUGUAGUGGUAAUGGUACUACUUUCUGCUGUCUGGCUGUUCACUUCCAACAGCGUCUGCAAGAGCAAAGUUGCUGUUUCAUGCAGAUGCAACAAGAGAUUUGAUUGAAAGUGUUUGAAUGGUUGCGUGAUAGAUUUUGUGUCCACACGCUGAGAAGAAAUGACUUUAUUCUCUCUGAAAUAUGAGCAAACGUCGCCCAUUUCCAGAUCUGAAUCACUGCCUCCCCAUGGUUUGAAAAAUUCAAGCAUAUUAGAGCCUCUUGAAAGAAAUUAGAAAUAAAAGCUUUGGUCACAAGGACCCAUUUUCAUCCACCUGCAUCUGUACUUUAAGUAGAAUAUAUGCGAUGGAAAAACAUGGAGAGUAAUCAUCAGAUAUUAUCCAUUUACCCAAUAAUUGUAACAAAAUUAGAGGUUUCUUUCUGCAAGGCUUUUUAAGACGGAUGUAGAAAAUUUCUCUGAUGUUACCCACCGGAGAAAGACAUCUUCAAAGAAAGCUGCAGUACAGAUACAGAGUUGUGUAUCUGUGUGUACAUGUGUGUAAAAGUGUGCUGUGUAGAGGUCAGGGGGCAUCAGUGAAAACCUGAUCUCCUGUUAUCCUCCAGCCAACCUUGUCUUGCUCUUCAAGAAGUGCCUGAAAAGCUCUGGUAGCGCAGCAGCGGGGUGGGAAGCUUUAUUUGCAUUAAGAGUGAGUAAAAAAAGAAUUUAAGGCCGGCUGAAAAAUCAGAAAGCGUUUCCAUCACUCAUGGUAAUGAGACGGCACUGAGAGUGCAAACCUCCAUACCAGAUGAACUGCUCCUGAACUAGAGUUUCACCCACGAGCAUCAUUUCUUUCUCUUAGAUUUCACUUAAUUCGCCUUCUUGACCCUUAAAAUGUUCCCCGAGGAGCUGGACUCUCUGCGAGCUUCAAAGAUGAGAUAUUAUUGUAGAAAUAUAGAAAAAAAAGAUAACAAACCAAUUCUGAGGGCAAUUGUUCUUUGGCCUGAGAUCUGUCUGUUAGAUUUUACAGAAGUAUAAAUGCUUUUUUUAACCAAACUGUGGCAGAGAAGAAGAAUAAAAGCUAAAUCUAUGCUUCUAACCUCUUAAAAAAAAUCUGUUUUUAUUUGACCUUUUUAUCCUCACAUGACAAAAACAUGAAGAGACUGUAAGUUUGACUGUUAAAGUCCUCAGACAGUUGUCAGGAUUAAUGGGUCAAAUUAAGGUUUGCUUCCUUAUUUCUAAUAACUAUUUAGUCAUUUUAGUCAUCACACCGCAUCUCUAGAAUCAACGUUUCCUUUUGAUCCACUUUCCUGGGGUCCGGGGGGUAUCAAGCCAGUCGACCUAGAAACGUCUCUCUCUUUCUCCAGCAACAUUUUCAAGCCCCCUCCUGAGGGAUCCUGAGGUGUAUUCAGACCAGAUAGGAUUCGUACGGUGGCAUAAAUGUUUCAGGAGUGUAAUAAUGAAUACUUCAAAAACACAAAAACAUUUUAAAAAAUGCAACAGUAUUCCUUUUUGUGAUGCAAAGGAUCAACAGCUUUACUCCAAAACUACUACUACUACUCCUCCAGGAGACUCAUUCUGUCCACCUGCAUUCACAAUUUCAGUUUUCCUGUCACUAACCAGAGCCCAGAUGGGAAUCAAGAACUGGAUUCAGAUCAGAACAGGUAUUAAACUACUUCAGGACAUCAACGUAUUUGCUGUUAUGCUUGACAGUAGACAGGAGCCGCCCAAAACCCUGUAACACAUAGACUCCAAACACACUUACGGCAAACUGAGUGACAGUCAAACAAAGGAAGCACUUCGCACAUCUAUGAAAACAUGACAGGUGCGUUGGAGAAAAAAGACCAAAAUACAAGAUAAUAGAUAAAAUACAUAAAAAAACCAAAAUAAAAAAUAAAAUAAAUAAAAAGACAACAUAAUGGCUGCCUAAUUUCUAAAAAAUGUGGAAACUGCAAAGGUUUUUGUCAUCCCCAAGAUUUUUUUACUAAUCAGUAGGGGCUUAAAAAAUUGCAGCAAAAAAGCAUACAUAUAUAAAUGGACAUAAUAUGUUGUGGGUAUCUGGAUCACUUUUUCUGUUGUUGCCAUUCACUCAGUGUGUGUAGUUCAAAAUGCACAAAAUGAACUUUGAAUCAUUAUUAUUAGAUGUAUAUUUUGAUGAGCGAUGUGCCCUUUUGUACUGGAUAUGGAGAUUUGUUAAUUAAAUAUGUCUGUUUUUAACUUACAAUGUAAACUUAUCUCCUAAUUUUUUUUUUUUUAAAUACUGAUUUAUUUAUAAUCGAUUCACGAUGUUAUGGAUUUCUCUUCUGGACGUGUGGGUAUUACUUUAGACUGAUGUCACACAAAGUGUUUUGUUGUUUAUUUGCUGUCUCUUUGGUUAAAUUACCCGAUGAUGAUGAUGAUUUUGUCCCUCUGUGUUUACACGUGAGAACGGGAUUGGUCAUGGAGAAACGACCACUCCCUGAUGAAGGUCUAGCACCGAAACGUUGCAAAUUAAUGAUUGAUAGCAAGUUGGACAGUGUGCGGGAAUCCCUUUGCUACAAACUGAGUGACAGUAAAAUCUACUCGCUCUGUGAGCCCGACAGCUAAACCCUGUGUGUGUUUUUCUGCCACAUCCAGGAGCUUUUCCACAGAGAAGAUCAUAUUAUUUCAGGGGCUGUUCCUCAAAAACAAAGGUUAUCUGUGAUAAGGAAUCUCUGUCGUUAGCUGACUGUGCUGAUCACAGACUUUGGUUUUCUCCAUGUGGAAAAUCCACAUGAAUUGAUGUAGGAUCAACAAAUGGUUGGACCAAUUUGCCUAAUCAAUAAUGGCAUUAGUAUUGAUAAAAUCCAGUGAAGUAACAUCCAGGUGUCGACUCUCUGCUGCUGCGAUUUUUCCACCUCCCGCCUUUUGACUUUCAGCUCUCAGUGAACCAGAAGCGUCUGAAACUAAUGGAGAGCUGAUGCGGAAUAAAUAGAAACACAGUCGCGCUGUGAUUGUUGACAGAAUGACACCUUUCUCCUCACAACCGCCAAUCAUAACAGAGCCAGGCUGUGGCCAAUCAGCAGUCAGCGUGGAUUACUUUCCUGCCAAACAAAUAAUCCAUCUUAAUCCAGCGCGGCAGCUGUGUGACGAUGGCCUCCCACCCUGCCACUUAGCGUGGGACAGAGCGAGCUCUAAUGCAGCCGUAAUGAAGCUCUGACACACUUUGUUUCCUCACUGUGCUGACUCAUACAGCCGGGGACAUGCGUGAUUACACAAACUAAUGCACAGCGCUUAUGAUUUUAUGUGAUUAAGACAAAAAACCUAAAACCAAGCGGGGAGAGCGGCGGUGCUCACGCUGUCUGCCAGCGGCUAAUGGGCUGUGAGUGACCGCGGUCUGCCAGCGCUGCGAGGCGCGUCGGCUCUGCUCAGGUCAAGGUCAUGGAAUGGGUUGUUGUCCUCACAGCCAGGCUCUCACUCUGGGGUUUGUCGUUUUUGUCUGAGGUGAGCGUGUGGAGGGAUACCUGAGGGAUUUCUGUUUUGCAUCUGCUGUUUGUAAAGCAUUGUGAGUCUCUUUAUCUGAGUGUUUUAGUUGCCUAACCUGCAAAUUGAAUUGUUUAGUGGGAAAGAUUGUCUAGUUUUUAAGGGAAUACUUCAAAAACAAAUGUGCAAAAAAAACACAGUUAGACAAAAUAUUGAAGAGCACAAAACAAAGACAAAGACGAAACUGUUUAUUUUUUCUGUAGAAACUUGUCUGUGCAAGAUGGCUGCCACCACUCCUAUAUAUAAAAAAACUAUAACAAAAAUAAACCAUAUUUAUUUUACACAUUCUUUGAACAUGGUCCUGUUAUUUCAGAGGCAUUUUGUAAACAAGGAGGAAGAUAAUCAGCAUGUUAUUUUAAAGAGAAGUGAGACGUCAUUAGCCUGCGUGUGGAAGUUAUGAAGCCGGUCAUGGUUGUUCAAGAGAAUGAAAGUUUGUAAAUGCACGCUACUCUUCCUGAAUGAAUGAAGGGGCCAAAUUGAAACACCCAUGAAGAGACGAGGACUCAUGGGUACACUAUCGCGCCUUCCUGUCCUGCUUUCUCUUGGAUAUCUAACUGGAUGUUGUUUAUUUGUUAUCUUGAACUCUUGUCAGCUUGUCUGCAUAACCAAGACCAAGACCCAGAUGAGGUCAUUAGGAGUUUUGAGUUAAAACGACCCAAAUCGAAUCGUCUCCACACACCAAGCACGAGUAGAAUCAUUCGCUAAGUCAAUGCAAAGACGCAAUUGCAGUACUUGAGAUCGGUCUUGGUCUUGAGACCAAUUUUUUUAGGGUCUUGGUGUUGUCUCGGAAUCAAAGGCAUUUUUACUCGGUCUUGGAGUGAGCAGACUCUGGUUUUUGAACAGCGGUCGAGCUUAUAACUUCACAUCAUUGGUAGUAAUGAUUACCUGCCCAGUGUCACACAGUCUGACUGACUGACACACCCCCUCCAUACAGAGAGAGGGCGGAGACGACAGGAGUAGAGGCUGUCUUCAUGCUCGGCACCCGGUGAACUCGUCAUGAAAGAUGUCUACCAACUCAGCAAUACUUUGGUUUCCAUUAAGUUUGGUUUCCUAAACCACAAGGAGUUUAUUUGUAAAACAACAUACAAGCGAAAACACUUGUCAGUGUGCAAAUUCUGCAGUGCACAACUCACAGAAACAGCUGGUACAACUUUAAACUUUUACUGUCACCUCGAGAGGAAGCAUAGAGACAGGUAAGCUAAUGGUUACCAUACAGUACUGUUGUAGUACUCAAGAUCGGUCUUGGUCUCGAGACCAUUUUUUGAGGGUCUUGGUGUCCUUUUGGAAUCAAAGGCAUUUUUCACUCGGUCUUGUCUCGGUCUCGGUCCUCUCUGGUCUCGGUUGGUUUGGUCUUGACUACAACACUACGUUUUACUCUGACGGCACGAAUGACGCAUGUGGGCAUGAGCUGAAAAUGUCUCAGCUGGAGCAGAUAUUCACUUUGUGAUAGCCAACCAGCAUGAAGGUUGCAAGGUGACAUGAAAACAGACUUUUGUUCACUGGUAUCUAAAAUGGAGGACAAACUGAUCAUGUUGGUGUGGGGGUUCCCAUAAUUAUACAAAACCUUUUCUUUCAAUUACCCAAACCGGAGUAAAAAGGAACUCGCCUGGAGGAAAGUGAAUGAAGAGGUCAAAUUACCUGGUAAAUUGUAAAAAAAAAAAUUGUGUAUCACUUGAUCCAACCAGUUGAAUUGGCAGGAAUUACCGUUGAAAUUACCGUUGACGCACGAAUGAAGUGAGUAAAGACUAUUCAUUCUCACGUCUAGAUUUGUGCGAAUUAAGAGAGUAGAUGAUUUUACUUGCGCUUGGUGUGAGCGCCCCAUAAAAGGCUAACCUCAGUUUGACCCUUCAGAUCCCAAACACACUGAUAUUGCAGCUAAAUUGAAUAGAAUUUAUUCCUGUGAGGAUUUUCAUUCAUGUCCACACACCUUUCCGCUACCUGUCAGGUGCUCAAAUUAAAGCCAAUUUAGCUGUUUGGACGUCCUGAGAGACUGUCAGGUGGAUCUGAUGCAAUGGUAUACAAUAGCAAAAGAAAAAAAAAGCAAAAUACGGACAUGCAUGAUGAAAGAGCUGAUUCAAAGAGACAGAAAAACAGUCAUGACGGAGGAUUUCAGGACUGCUGAUACUCUAGCUCGGUUUUACUUAAAAACAUGAAUUAAACUCCAACAAACAGCAGCUGCAGCUCUGAAGUCUGCUCCUCACUUUAUGAUAUUUAUUUCAUAUUGCAAUCCAUGACACCCCAUCUGUCUAUCUCCCCGACACUGUGGCAGCUGUCGUUCAUGAUCUGGAUCAAAAAGCUCUCUUGGUCAGCGGAUCGCUCAGAGAUUUCUGCGUGCGUCCCAAGGUUGGAGAGAAACUGAGGGGGGACAUCAAUCCAAAUUCAUGAAGUUCAGGAGUGACGGGAGACAUCUGCAAGGUGCACUUCUCCGUUUGAGGAGUGAGGAUCACUGACAGGUCAAGGAGAGAGGAGGGAGGAGAUAUCUUUGCAAAACAGAAGCUGGAAACACUGUCGGCACUCCAAAAUAGAGAAGAGGAGGAUAGGAAAGAGGAAAAUGAAUAAAAGAAACAAGGGUCAGAACUCGGAAAGAACGAACAGCACAACAAACUCUCGUCUAACUCCUACUCACUGCUCUUAUUACAACCUUCUACAGGCCAAAAGCAGCAUUUUACAGCCGCUCUUCAGCCGCAUUCCCUUUGAACUCAGAAAACAUGAAACCAAUUUACAGAUGAACCAUAAAAAAGAAAGAAAUGACACUCAUGUUAAAUAGCAUUUUAUUGAAACGUCUCCAGAAAGGUCAAAGGUUAUUGAGUGGGAGGUUCGAGUUGUUGAUCCACCGCGUCAACAGUAAGUUUUUCAUCGCUGUUUUUUAGUGACUUUAUUGGCUUUUUUGGCCCCUGACCCCCAGUCCAUUUUUGAUAUUGGAGUCCAAGUCUGAUACUUAUGAGCUGCAGCUAGUUUUAAAACAAAAAAAUCCAAAGAUGUCUUCUGUUUAUUCUGAUAGAAUACUCACAUGCCGUACCAAACUUUCCAUUUACAGGAUGAUUGUGCUGACUGUUUAAGUCAUGUUGUGUGUGUCUAUGUGUUCAAACUUUGUUCAAGUUUGUUAUUUAAGUAAAAAAAUGAAAGUGAUAACUGAAAAGGGGAAAAUCAAUUCUUGCCUGGUGCUUUUAGACCAACUAGGUCCUUACAGGUCCUUACACACCGGGAAUGACGCAAAUAU